ACUAUAUCUAGAGGUUCACAAAUGAUAAAAAGAAAUUGUAUACACCACUAAUUGAUUACCCUCAAAUAAAGCAGCAUGUUUGGAUAAAGUUUGUCGACGAACAUUUAUCCGAAUCAUUUGAAGUAAGUAUUUUAAAGUUAGGACAAGUAAUAUGCUAAUAGUUACUUAACAUUUACAUUGUGUUAAAAAGAUGUUUUUUCUUAUGUAGAAAAUUAGUCGUGUCAAUAAGAAUUGGAGAGCUUUGAACAAGUGUAAUCACCGUCUUAGUCGAAAAUGAUAUGUUGGAUUAAUGAAAGAAAUUGUAAGUUUGUAUAUAUUGGUAUAAAUGGUAUUUUUAACUUUUACAUUUUUCUAAUAGUUUACUAAUCUAAUUUCUUUUAUUGAAACAGUGUGUAAAAUUGGGUCUUUCUGAAGACUUAAUUGAUAGGAGUGAGCUGUGAAAGAGAGCUCGGAUGCUAAAGAAUGGAGGAUACGAUCUUGAGACUGAGCAAGUCAUUAAAAAAUUGGUAAUCAAGUUUAACCAGAACAAAAUUGGUUAUGAUAUUAGAACUAUGCUCAUUUAAUAAUAUUAGUUUCCUUAUGAUGUGGUGUUAGGAAAAGCUAAAGGAGGACCAAAAAGACUCUUUCACUUCAGAUGUAAGAAAUGACUUACUUGCACAAGCAUUGGGAAAGCUUCCUUGAACUGGUCAUAUGUAAGGCCUGGGCAAAUUUAUAUCUGCUUCUAACUACUUUCAUACCAUUCGUGGACCCAUUCGAAAUGAGAGAGAAAGGGAGCUAAAUGCUUGGAAAAAAUUAGUUGAUGCUCAGUUACAAGAAAUUUGUAGAGAAUUGAAGAGGACACCUCACUAUUCAGAUGUGGGAAGUUCCACUUUCCCACAUAAUAAAGGCAUUGAAAAUGACAGUAAGGAAGAUGUACAUCAGGUUACUUCAUUUAUAAAAUUAACUGAAUUUUUCCUGGUUUAUUUUCCUCGUAUAUCUGCCACUCAAUACAAUUUAAUUUACUUUUUGGUAAUAAUGCUGAUAGGAGCCAGAAAUUUUUGGCAAGUCAGCUGAGAAGAAGAGGAAAUGGAUGUCCAGUUAGAAAGAAGAGCAACCUAAAGUAUCAAAAGUAUCAACACUGAGAAAGAAGGAAGAAACUAAGAAGAACGAAAAGAUGCCAAAAAACACCACUGCUGCCAUUCUGAUGAAGUCUUCUGCCAUUCCGAUGAAGUCAGCCAGAAAUGAUGAUUACGAUGAUGACAAUGAACUCCAUGCACAGAAGGUUAGUUUAUUUAAAUAAUUAGUUGUAUUUUUCUUGGUUUAAUAUACUUACUGCCUUGUAUAUUUACUAUUCAAUCUAGUUUAAUAAACUUAUUAGUUCAUAUAAUUAAUAUUCAUAGGAGCCAGAUAAUUUAGGCAACACGCCAAGAAACGCUACUGCAGCCAUUUCAAGGAAAACUCUAAGACUCAAUCCUUCAAUUCCAAAGGAUUGUGCAAAUGAUGAGAGGAAAAGAGUUGGAAGCAGUAAAAAGCAAUUGGACUUUGACUAUGCUGAUGGUAUAUGCGAGAUUCAUCCUGAAAACCCAACAAAAAAGGCACUUUUGAAGAAGGAUAAAGCCAAAAAAAAUUGUAGUGCAGCCUAUGAGGAGCACAAGGAGUGCGAUACUCAAGCACCAGAACAGUCAUCCGAUGUUGCAAUUAUUUGGGAAGUUAUGUGAGAAAUACCUACCUGGUGAAAAUGAUGGUGUUCUGACAUAUCUGAUUGAUGAUAAUGUAUUCUAGAUAGAGGCUUGUGCUUAUAUUGGGAAGAAAGAUUGCAACGAUCUGCUGUCAAUGCAAGCGUUAGGAGUGAAUGCUAUUCAAGUAUAUAUGGCGUAAGUGGUUUUAUGAUUUUCCUUUACACUAUUUAAUAUCAAUUUGGUAUACUUUUUUAUUGAUGCACUGAUUUUCUGUCAACGAUGUUGGAUUCUACCAUUUUACUAACUAGAAAAGGAACAAAACCAUUCGGAUUCAUGUGUCCUAGUUUGGUUUGCCCAACAAAUCCAAAGGCUGCAGAACGAUUUCGCUCGAAGAGAGUUGAGCAUAUUCACGACCGCUUGAAAAGGCCAAAACAGACAACUCAUUUUCAUGCCAUACAAUCCUUUGUAAGUUUAAUUUUAUUUAAAACUUUUAUAGCUGUUAAAUUCAUAUUACGUUUGAUGUGCUCAUAAUUUAUCUAUUAUUUUAAUGCUUUCAUAACUUAAUUUUAUGUUAAAUUAUAUUUUAUUAUGUUAAUUUUAUCUUCAUUUUUAUAUUUUAUUAUUUUAGAUACAAUAUGAGAUUGGAGAGGAAUUAAAUCGAAGCAUUCAGGAAGAAAUCAACCUGAAGGAAUAAAAAAGGGAAAGCAAUAAAGAGAAUUAAUUGGAAAAAUCGCAAAGGAUUUAAUUUAAUUAAUCAUUAAGCAUGCAUGCACGUGGGGAAGCAUUGAAGAAUUUAUUUGCAAAGAAAAUAUGGCAUGCACGCGAUGGGCUUUGGCUUCAAUUCUUAUUGGCUUAGGAAUGAAACAGGCAGCUUGGGCUUUUGUUUUUUUAUUCUUUUCAUAAAAGGAUUUAAAAGCCACAACAUUAUAAAAAGGGAAAAGCCAAGCGGAAGCAAAAGAGACAAGAAGGCAGCCGCACAAGGAGAAUUGAAGCCAAGAAAAAAAAAUAAUAGAGCAGCAGCCGCAAGUUUUGAAAAAAAACCGAGAGCAGCAAGAAUAAUUUGGAGCAGGAGGAAGACACAUUAAUUCUUGACUUUUUCUUUCUCUCUUCUUUAUUAUCUUGCUUGAAUGUUUCCCAUUAAAUUUAUGGAUUCUGUUUAUAUUCUCAUGAACUAAUUUAUUUACUAGGGCUACGUUGUAGCCUAACUAUGAAGAUUUAAUUCUAUAAAUUUGUGUUAUUUUUAAUUUAUUAUUCCAUGGUUGAAUGUUCAUUAUUGUGCUUUAUGCUUUUAAAUAUCUGGCUUAUAUUUGAAUGAUUUAAGGAUACAUAAUGAGACCGAGAGGAGAUUUAUGUAUUUUUGCUCUGUGUAAUGGAUGCCAUGAAUUGAACGAAAGACGGAGAUGUGCCAACGUGAUUCGUGCAGUUCUUCUAAGAAUUUCCAUAGAGCUUAAUGAAUCUUUGCAUAUUUAAAUUCGUUAGAGAUAUAGUGGGUUAAUAUGUGGAGAUAGUUUUUUAUAUUAUUCGAGAGAGGAUAUUGAAUAGAUUAUGGAAAUUCACUGUCAACAUGGGUAAUAAACUUUAAUAGCAUAGAUGGAGGAUUAAAUUAGUUUAGUUAUGGUGAAAUCGGAUGUCCUAGUGUUUUACUCUCUUGGUGAUUUCUAUUACUGUCUGCAUCUUUAUUUAAUUUUUAGUUAUUUUAUUUAAUUUAAUUUUAAUCUAAAUUCGCUUAUUCGAUUGUUCAAAUAAAUUAGGGUUAGAAUAAUUUCGGUAACUAAUAAGAUAUACAAUCUCUGUGGGACGAUACUCUACUCUUCAUUAUAUUACUUGUGCCGACUAGUACACUUACUAAUUUACGUAUCAAGUUUUUGGCUUCUUUGCCGAAGAUUGUUUGGAUUAGUAUCAAUACCAACUAACCUUAUUUUAAUUUUAAUUUUCAUUUUCUUGUUUAAUUUUAAUUUUCAUUUUCUUGUUUAAUUUUAUGAGACGUUCAAGAAGUUUUGAUUUAUUGCUUUUUGAUCCAUUGAUUGAACGUACGUGUAGAAGGCGUAAUAGAGAAAGGAGAGAAGCUUUACAGGAGCAACAACUAAUCAUGGCUGACGAAGCAUUACACGGAAAUGAAGAUGCGAGACCUUUAAGAGAUUAUAUUGUGAGUAUAGUUAAUGGUGCUCACUCAAGCAUUGCACGCCCUACCGUUCAAGCCAAUAAUUUUGAAAUUAAGUCAACCAUAAUCCAGAUGAUUCAGACGUCAGUACAAUUUGCUGAGAUGCCAAAUGAUGAUCCAAAUGCUCAUAUUGCAAAUUUCUUGGAAAUUUGUGACACAUUUAAGCUAAAUGGUGUUUCACACAAUGCUAUCAGGCUAAGGCUUUUUCCGUUCUCACUGAGGGAUAAAACAAAAAAGUGGUUGAACUCACUCUCUACUGGAACAAUCACUACAUGGAAUGGUUUAGCGCAGAAGUUUUUAGCAAAAUACUUUCCUCCAACAAAAACAGCCAAGUUGAGGAAUGACAUCACAACCUUUGCUCAGUUCGAGAUGGAAUUAUUAUAUGAAGCGUGUGAGACAUACAAAGACCUACUAAGAAAAUGCCCACAUCAUGGUCUACCAGUUUGGCUUCAGGUAUAUACAUUUUACAAUGGUUUGGGAUCCAAUACCAGAACAAUGAUUGAUGCUGCAGCAGGAGGAACAUUAAUGGGAAAAACACCAAAAGCAACUUAUGAAUUAUUGGAGGAGAUGGCAUCUAAUAAUUACCAGUGGUCUUCAGAGCGAUCAAUGCCAAGGAAAACUAUAGGAGCCCAUAAUAUUGAUGUUGUCACUUCUUUAUCUGAACAGAUGACUACUUUAUCUAAUAAGCUAGAGCAUUUAAAUGUCAGUGCUAUUCAAACUCAAGUGUGUGAAUUAUGCGGAGGGAACCAUACCAAUGUCACCUGCCAAGUUGGAAGUCAUUUUGCGUCAUCAUCUGCUGAACAAGCUCAUUAUGUGUCGAACUUUCAGAGGCAAUAAAAUAACCAAUAUUCUAAUACCUACAAUCCUGGCUAGAGAAACCACCCAAAUUUUUCAUGGAACAGCACUCAAAAUACAUUGAAGCCACCUCCAGGGUUCCAAUCACAAGAGAAGAAGUUAAUUUUGGAAGAUGCUCUUACUUAACUUACAACAAAUAUGUCUCAAUUCAUGACCAAAACAGAGACAACUUUUCAGAAUCAGGCUGCAUCAAUCCGGAACCUUGAGGUGCAAAUGGGUCAGAUUACAAAUUUGUUAUCCAGCAGACCACAAGGCUCUAUGUCGAGCAACACAGAGACAAAUCUAAAGGAGUAAAUGAAUGCAAUUAUGCUUCGGAAUGGUAGACAACUUGAAGAUCCGCCAAAAGAAGUUAAGGAAAUUGAAGAAGAUAACAUGGAGUAAAUUAAAGACACCACUAGAACAUCUAAGACAGCAAGUGCAGAAAUUCCACAAUCACAACAAUUAGCACCAGUCAAAGCCUACGUCCUUCUGAUCCCGUUUCCUCAGCGCCUUCAGAAAAACAAAUUAGAUAAGCAGUUCUCUAAAUUUCUUGAUGUCUUUAAAAAGUUGCAUAUUAACAUUCCUUUUGCAGAUGCAUUAGAACAAAUGUCGAACUAUGCUAAAUUCAUGAAAGAUAUUUUAUCUAAUAAGAGGAAAUUAGAAGAGCAUGAAACCGUGUUGUUAACUGAAGAGUCCACUGCAAUUCUACAUAAUAAAUUGCCACCAAAGUUGAAAGAUCCAAGGAGUUUUUCUAUUCCAUGCACUAUUGGAAAUACUUAUUUUGAUAAAGUUUUGUGUGAUUUAGGUGCAAGUAUUAAUUUGAUGCCUCUCUCUGUUUUCAGGAAAUUAAGACUUGGUGAACCUAAGGCAACAAUUGUUUCUCUUCAAUUAGCAGAUAGGUCUAUAAAGUAUCCUAGAGGCAUGAUUGAGGACGUACUUGUUAAGGUCGACAAGUUUAUAUUUCCUGCAAAUUUUAUUGUUUUGGAUAUGAUUGAAGAUCAAGAGAUACCAAUCAUUUUAGGCCGACCAUUCUUGGCCACGGGAAGAACUCUUAUUGAUGUCCAAGAAGGAAAACUAAUCUUUAGGGUGCAAGAUGAGCAAGUCACUUUCAAUGUGUUUGAAGCAAUGAAAUAUCCAUCCGAGAUCGACACAUGCCUUUAAAUAAACAGCAUUGAUAAAGAGAUAAUUGAGAGCUUUCGCGAUACAAUGCCGAAUGACACAUUAGAAGGAUGUAUUGUUCACUAUGGGACUACUCAAUCUACGAAUACAAGUAUUCAGGAGUAUGCACGGUAUUUAGAAGCUUCACCAUUUUACUUGCUUUCAAAAAAGCUAGAAUUAAAGGAGCUUGGUAGAAGUCCUUCUAGACCAAAACCUUCAAUAGAAGAACCUCCAAAACAUGAGCUUAAGCUUUUACCCUAUCAUUUAAAGGUAUUCUUAUUUAUAUGAUAACUCUAAGCUACUAGUUAUUAUUUCUUCUGCCUUGAAAAAUCUUGAAGAGGAAAAACUACUUCGAGUUUUGAGGGACCACAGAGCUGCUCUAGGAUGGACUAUUGCCGACAUCAAAGGAAUAAGCCUUUCAAUCUGCAUGCACAAUAUUCUAAUGGAGGAGAGUUAUAAGCCCACAGUACAACCACAAAGAUGCCUAAAUCCGAACAUGCAAGAAGUGGUUAGGGCAAAAGUGCUUAAAUUAUUGGAUGCUGAGAUAAUUUAUCCAAUCUCUGAUAGCAAAUGGGUCAGCCCAGUGCAAGUGGUACCAAAGAAGGGAGGAAUGAUGGUCGUGAAUAAUGAAAACAAUAAACUUAUCCCAACAAGGACAGUCACAGGUUGGCGGGUAUGCAUGGAUUACAGAAAACUUAAUGCUGCUACUAGAAAAGACCAUUUUCCAUUGCCUUUUAUUUAUCAGAUGUUGGAGUGACUUGCUGGCCAUGCCUACUAUUGCUUUUUAGAUGGAUAUUCAGGCUAUAAUCAAAUCCCUAUAGCACCAGAAGAUCAAGAGAAACCACAUUCACAUGUCCUUAGGGUACAUUUGCUUAUAGAAGAAUGUCAUUCGGCUUAUGCAAUGCACCAGCUACCUUUCAGCGUUGCAUGACAGCUAUAUUUUCUGAUAUGGUGGAGAGAUUGAUUGAGGUAUUUAUGGAUGAUUUCUCAGUUUUUGGAUCUUCAUUUGAUCAUUGUCUGAACAAUUUAGAUCUAGUUUUGCAGCGAUGUGAGGAGACCAACUUAGUUCUGAAUUGGGAAAAAUGUCAUUUUAUGGUGCAAGAAGGCAUUGUACUAAGUCAUCGUAUUUCAGCUAAAGGAAUUGAAGUGGAUAGAACGAAGACUGAAGUCAUUGAGAAGUUGCCACCACUGACUUUCGUGAAAGCAGUAAGAAGUUUUCUAGGGCAUGCCGGGUUUUAUCGUCGUUUUAUUAAAGAUUUUUCAAAGAUAACGAAACCCUUAUGCAACAUUUUACUCAAGGAUGUGCCUUUCAAUUUUAUCGAUGAGUGUUUGCAGGCUUUUAACACUUUAAAAGAGAAACUGAUUUAAGCUCUAGUUAUUAUGGCUCCAGAUUGGGAUCUCCCGUUCAAGGUUAUGUGUGAUGCGAGUGACUGCUAUUGGAGCAGUUUUGGGGCAGCGGAACAAAAACAUGUUGCAUGUUAUUUACUAUGCAAGUUGAACUCUGACAGAUACGCAAUUGAAUUAUGCUAUCACUGAGAAAGAGUUUCUAGCUGUUGUGUUUGCACUUGAAAAAUUCCGCUCAAAUUUGAUUUGCUCCAAGGUAAUAGUUUACACUGAUCAUUCCACUCUCAGGUAUCUAUUCACAAAGGCAAAUGCAAAACCAAGACUAAUAUAUUGGGUGCUCUUACUACAAGAAUUUGAUUUAGAGAUUCAGGAUAAGAAUGGAUCUAAAAAUCUGGUGGCGGAUUACUUAUCUCGAUUAGAGCAGGGAGAGCGAGGGGAUAAUGUAAUGGUUUCAAUCACCGAAGAAUUUCCUGAUGAAAAGCUGCUGGCCCUUCAAACUUGCGAUGCACUAUGGUAUGCAGAUUUUGUGAACUAUUUGGCCAGUGUCGUUGUUCCUUCUGAUUUAUCAUAUCAACAGAAGAAGAAAUUCUUUUCAGAUGUCAAGUAUUAUCUUUGGGAAGAUCUGUUCUUCUAUAAGUGUUGUUUAGACCAAAUCAUUUAACGAUGUGUCCCGGAAGAAGAUAUAAGAAGCAUCCUACAGCACUAUCAUUCUCGCGAAGUUGGUGGACAUUUUGGCGCAACUAAAAUUGCAGCAAAAGUGCUUCAAUCGGGUUUUUAUUGGCCCACUUUAUUUAAAGAUACUUAUGUUUUUUUUUGCUGCUUGUGACUUGUGUCAGAGAACUGGUAAUAUUUCAAAGAAGAAUUAAUGCCACUAACUAAUAUUCUUGAAGUAGAAUUGUUUGAUGUUUGGGGAAUUGACUUUAUGGGUCUGUUUCCAUCUUCCUUCAAGAAUAAAUAGAUUCUGGUAGCUGUUGAUUAUGUUUCUAAGUGGGUUGAAGCUGUUGCUUUACCUUCCAAUGAUGCUCGGGUUGUUGUGAAUUUUUUGAAGAAAAAUAUUUUCACACGGUUUAGCACUCCAAGAGCAAUUAUAAGUGAUAGUGGGAAACAUUUUUGUAAUCGACAAUUUGAAGCCCUCUUAAGCAAAUAUGGAGUCACACACAAAGUUGCCACCCCUUAACAUCCACAAACUAGCGGCCAAGUUGAAGUCUUGAAUCGAGAAUUAAAGAGAAUUUUGGGGAAAACAAUAAACGCUUCGUGGAAGGAUUGGUGGAUAAAACUAGACGAUGCACUUUGGGGCGUAUCGAACAGCUUUUAAAACACCUAUUGGUAUGUCUCCUUAUCGCCUAAUAUUCGGAAAGGCAUACCAUCUACCUAUUGAACUUGAGCAAAGGGCGUAUUAGGCAAUGAAGAUUUUGAACUUUGACAUACAAGCAGCAGGAGAAAAGAGAUUGUUGCAACUUAAUGAAAUGGAUGAAUUUCGCAAUGCAGCUUAUGAGAAUGCUCGAAUCUAUAAAGCCCGCACUAAAUAUUGGCAUGAAAAAUAUAUACUCAGAUGUGAAUUUCAGGUUGGCCAAAAGGUUUUACUAUAUAAUUCUCGACUUUGACUUUUCCCAGGCAAGUUGCGAUCCUGUUGGUCUGGUCCUUUUAUAAUAACACAAGUCUUUCCGUCUGGCGUGGUAAAAGUUUCACAUGAUACAAAGGGCACAUUCAAGGUUAAUGGUCAUCGAUUGAAGCCUUAUCUGGAUGAUGCAUUUGAUAAUCACAAGAUAGCUAUUGAGCUGUCUAGUCAUGAAUGACGACCAGAGACAGUCAAGCUAAUGACUAUAAAUUAAGCACUUCUUGGGAGGCAACCCAAGCGUUCUAAACUUUAUUCUUGUCAUUUUUAUCUUUCCUUAUUUCCUUUUUCUUUUCUUUUACUUAUUUUAUUUUGUUUUAUCUAGGUUUUUGCACAAGUUUGGGGGUCGAUGACCAUUGACUUUUCACAUGCCUUUCAACGACUCAGCUACAACUUUACAUCUUCAAGUGCAAAAUCGGGGGAGUUUCUAUUUUCUUUUUUUUUUCUUUACAUUGAGGACAAUGUUUAUUUUAAUUUUGGGGGUGGGAAUAUUUGCGUUCAUUUUUUCAAAAAAAAAUUUAAAAAAUUAAAAAAAAAGAGAAAAAAAUUGGAUGCCUAUGAUGAGUAUAUAAUUGAAAAUGAAUAUGGUUCUUAGAAAGGGAUGAAUAUUGUCUUAAUUUAUACUUGAUUCUUGUGUUAGUUUCAUCUUGAUUGUGAUUCUUUAAAUAUUUUGCGCACUUAUAUCGAUUCUUUCAGAAUUUUGACUUGAGAUUUGAGAUUGAUACAGCCUGAGUUAAGAAUUUUAAAUUGAGUAAAUGACUGUUUGCCUCGAUUCUACAGUACUUAAGUUUACCCAGGCACUAUAGUCAGAAAUAGCUACCUAUAACCUUUAAGAGUGAAGUUAUCCUUGAGUAAUUUAGGCUUAUGUUCCACCAGUAUGUAGAGGAUAAUCUACCAUGAGAAGAAGACUAUCUUAAGGGGUAGAGUGAAAGCUCCUGACUAUGGACAACGAAAAAAAAAAGAAAAAAAAUUUUGAGAAUGAGUUUUGAUUGAAUUAAUUCACACACAACACAUGAAUCCAAUAUAAGAUGAGGCUGACCAUUGAAUUAAAGUUAGAACUUUGCUAAUAUUUUUAAUUUUCUUUGAGCUAUAUACUUUAUGCAAUCUUUGAGGCAUUUUUUAUGAUGUUUGUGGGUAUCAUCGCUGGAAACCCUCACAAGACUAUAACUCGUCCACUAGGGCCACCUAGGGGUUUAAAGGCUUGUAGCAUACGCUAAAUGCAAUCGCGAUCACCUGCGAAAGUGGUUUAGGUAGAAUUUUCUUUUCGUAGUUUUUAUUUUAAUUUUUGCUCGAGGACUAGCAAAAUGUUAAGUUUGGGGGUAUUUGAUGUGCUCAUAAUUUAUCUAUUAUUUUAAUGCUUCCAUAACUUAAUUUUAUGUUAAAUUAUAUUUUAUUAUGUUAAUUUUAUUUUCAUUUUUAUAUUUUAUUAUUUUAGAUACAAUAUAGGAUUAAAGAGGAAUUAAAUCGGAGCAUUCAGGAAGAAAUCAACUUGAAGGAAUCAAAAGGGAAAGUAAUAAAGAGAAUUAAUUGGAACAAAUCGCAAAGGAUUUAAUUUAAUUAAUCAUUAAGCAUGCAUGCAUGUGGGGAAGCAUUGACGAAUUUAUUUACAAAGAAAAUAUGGCAUGCACGUAAUGGGCUUUGGCUUCAAUUCUUAUUGGCUUAGGAAUGAAACAUGUGGCUUGGCUUUUGUUUUUUAUUCUUUUCAUAAAAGGAUUUAAAAGCCACAGCAUUAUAAAAAAGGGAAAGCCAAGCAGAACUAAAAGAGACAAGAAGGCAGCCACACAAGAAGAAUUGAAGCCAAGAGAAAAAAAUAAAAAUAGAGUAGCAGCCGCAAGUUUUGAAAAAAAACCGAGUAGCAGGAAUAAUUUGGAGCAGUAGGAAGACACAUUAAUUCUUGAGUUUUUCUCUCUCUUCUUUAUUAUCUUGCUUGAAUGUUUCCCAUUAAAUUUAUGGAUUCUGUUUAUAUUCCCAUGAACUAAUUUAUUUACUAGGGCUACGAUGUAGCCUAACUAUGAAGAUUUAAUUCUAUAAAUCUGUGUUAUUUUUAAUUUAUUAUUCCAUGGUUAAGUGUUCAUUAUUGUGCUUAAUGCUUUAAAUAUAUGGCCAAUAUUUGAAUGAUUUGAGGAUACAUAAUGAGACCGAGAGGAGAUUUAUGUAUUUUUGCUCUGUGUAAUGGAUGCCAUGAAUUGAAUGAAAGACAGAGAUGUGCCAACGUGAUUCGUGCAGUUCUUCUAAGAAUUUCCAUAGAGCUUAAUGAAUCUUUGCAUAUUUAAAUUCGUAUAGAGAUAUAAUGGGUUAAUAUGUGGAGAUAUUUUUGAUAUUACUCGAGAGAGGAUAUUGAAUAGAUUAGGAAAAUUCACUGUCAACAUGGGUAAUAAACUUUAAUAGCAUUCAUGGAGGAUUAAAUUGGUUUAGUUAUGGUGAAAUAGGAUGUCCUAGUGUUUUACUCUCUUGGUGAUUUCUAUUACUGCAUGCAUCUUUAUUUAAUUUUUAGUUAUUUUAUUUUAUUUAAUUUUAAUCUAAAUUCGCUUAUUCAGUUGUUCAAAUAAAUUAGGGUUAGAAUAAUUUCGGUAACUAAAAAGAUAUACAAUCUCUGUGGGACGAUACUCUACUCAUCAUUAUAUUACUUGUGCCGACUAGUACACUUGCUAAUUUACGCAUCAACGUUCACAUAUGUUUCUUAAUUAAUGGUUAUGUUUUUGGCUUUUGUAGCUACCAUUGGGUAUUAGUUGUGUUUGAUGUGGUAAAAAAGGCAGUAUUGUAUGUGGAUCUUAUGCAAUCCAAACCUAAAAUUGAUUUAGAACAGCUCCUUAAAAUGUAUGUAUGGUAAUCUAUUUCCUGCAAUUGAUAGUUUAAGUUUCUUUAAUAUGAUUAAGAGAUAACAAUAUAGUUUUGCAUGACACUCUUCACAUCAGAUGGUGAUAAGGAAAAAUGGAAUUAUAAUACCAAGAUGAGAAUUGUGAAGGUAAAAAAAAAGAAAAAAAAGUACUUUUAUAGCCUAUUGAUUACGUACCUUAACUAAAAUGGAUGGGUUUUGUAAGAAAAAAUUUCAUCUUUUUUUUUUUCAUGAACAGGCUCUUAAACAAAAUAUCGCAAAAUUGGAGUGUGGUUAUUUUGUGUUAAGGUACAUGAAAGAAAUAAUAGCAGAUGUUAGUUUGUUAACCUACAAUGUAAGUUCAUGAUGAGAUAUGUUAACAUUCUUUUAUUUCCUACAUGUGACAUUAUUUUUAGAGUUUGACAAUAUUAUUUCUUAUGAUUAACAGUUUAAUGGAAAGAAAUCAUACAUUCAGUAUGAAUUAUAUGAGGUUCGUUUGGAGUGGGCUAACCAUUUUUCUGACAUUCUCAUUGCGUUAGCAAAAUGGUUAGUAUUGAGUAUGAAAUUUGUAACAAAAUGGUUAGCAUUGAGUAUGAAAUUUGUAACAAAAUGGUUAGUUGUUACAAAUUGUUGAAAUUGAAUUUGUAGUAUCAAAUUAUAAUGUUGCUGUUAAGGAUUGUACUGUAGAUGUUAUGCAUUUGAUAACUUUGGGUAUUUUGAUUGAUUUUGCAUAGAAUGGUUUGCUGGGUUUGGGUUGGAUUGUUGCUGGAUAUAUGGCUGGAAGUGCUGUUGGAAGAUGGUGGGUUGCUGGAUAUAUGGCUAGAAGUGUUGUUGGAAGAUGGUGGGUCGCUGGAUAUAUGGCUGGAAGUGCUAUUGGAAGAUGGUGGGUUGCUGGAUAUGGUUGGAGUAUUGCUAGCGCGGCUGGAAUUGGAAUGUUGACAAACCUGGCUUUGUGACUGGAGUUAAGAGUACUAGAACUCCUAAAAGUCUUGCAUUAUUCUUUGCAAGUUUUGUUGAGAAACUUGGCUUGAUGGUUGGAAUUUUAGUUGCUUUUGUUGUACAUGCAAUGGAAUUUAAUAGUUGUUUUAUAUUUUGAGAUGCUCUAUUAUGUGUAUCAAAUUGGACCUUUUAUAUAUGUAUUUUUUUUAAAUUAAUUUAUUAGAUUGAAUGAAUGUUAAAAUAUGUUAAUUGUUUUCUAGUUUUUUAAAUAGUAUUCAUUUUAUUAAUAAACAGGAAUUUAUAAACAAAUUGUAAUUAUAAAAAAAUUAUUUUUUUAUGACGGGAAAUAUCCAUCACAAAUACUAUCAUAAAUAAUUUCCCGCGAAAUUGAAUAAUAAAUUAACAAAUGAUAAUCGAAUUUCCUGCCAAAAUUUUAAAAAAUGGCACGAAAAUUUAAAUUAAUUUUAAUUUUAGUUAUUUUUUCACAUUAAAAUAUUGUGUGAUAGAUGUAUGACAGUAAAAAACCAUCAUAAAUUCAUGACGGAUAAAUGUUCGUCAUGAAUUAAUGACAAUGACAUAGAUGACAAAAGGAUUGUAUGUCAUGCACCCCUCUUUAUGACAGUUAUUUCCCAUCAUCUAUUGCAUGUUUUCUUGUAGUGAUAAUUUUCAAACAACCCAUCAUUUGAUGCUUAUAAAUGAUUGAAUAAUUUAUACAUAAUGUUAAUAAUAAACAGGUGUUGAAGUUCAUAGUUAUAAAAUAUUUUAGAAUCACCCAAAGGUCGAUUAUUUAUUUUCUUAACCUAUGAAUGUUAUUGUGGUCAAUUGAUAUUCUGAAUUUGAUAUUUUUAGUAUAUUUGAAGAUGACUGACAUGUCUAGUUAAAGUGUAUAUAAUUGUCAAUUAUGUGUUGUUAAAUUAGGCAUCAAUUAUGUUUUUUUUUUUUUUUUGUGUUGUUGUAUCGCCCAAAGGUGAAUUUCAAUAUGUGCUAAAAGUUUAUAUGAAUUUUAUCUAAAUUUGCAUUAUAUGUUUAAGUUUAAAGCAUUAAUGUGUGAGCAUUUAUGUAUAUUUGCAGCAUUUGUCCUUGUUGCUCUUCAUUUACAAUCUUCAUCCGUUGUUACAUUCAAUUGCCUUAAUUAGCCAUAUUGGUUUGAGCAGAUCUAGUUUCACUUAAGUGUUCUGGAUCUCGACUUGACACUAUUAAUUGAAAGGACAGUUGCCAUUGCAGAUGAAAACAAUAUGGAAGAGAGAUCUUUCUAUAGGGCUUGGGAUAGAUCAAAUAGACUGAGCUUGAUGUUUAUACGAAUGACAGUAGCUAACAACAUCAAGUCCACAAUUCCAAGAAUUGAAAAUGCCAAGGAGUAUAAGGAAUUUGUGAAAGAGCGUUUUAAGUCUGAAUCAGCUGAUAAGUCCCAUACCAGGGCAUUAAUAGGUAUAUUGACCACCAAUAAAUUUAACGAUACAUGUACCACGCAUCAGCAUGUGACUAAGAUGAUAGACACAGUAGCAAAGUUGAGGUAUGUGGGGAUGGAAGUGAAUGACAGCUUCCCUGUGCAGUUCAUUGUCAACUCAUUACCUUUUGAAUUUGGUCCAUUUCAAAUAAACUAUAGAAUUGUGGAAGAUAAAUAGAGUACCAAUGAACUCCAGGUCAUGCUUAUUCAAGAAGAGGCAAGACUUAAGAAACAAGAAAAUCACUCAGUUAACCUCAUGGGUCAUAAAGGAGCUUAAAAGAAGUCUGAAAGAAAAAAUUACCACAAAGGGAGACAAAGAAGCAUCAAAGCUAAAAGUGCAACACACCCAAGUCCAAAAAAAGGCAUCAAGAAUGAGAAGUGUCAUUUCUACAAUAACUAUGGACAUUUUGCUAAAGAUUGCCUUAAGUGUAAAGCUUGGUUCGAAAAGAAAGGAAAGCCUAGUGCUUUAGCAUAUUCCAAAUCAAAUUUAGCUGAAUUUUCUUAUAACAUGUUGUGGUUUGAUUCUAGUUGCAUUACUCAUAUUUUUAACAAAGUGUAGAGAUUCCUUAUGAUCAAAACUAUAAACCCAAAUAAGAAAUUUAUCUUUAUGGAGGACAAAGUUAAACCUCCAGUUGAAGGCAUUGAGACUUACCUUUUGAUUUUAGAUACUGGACAUCAUUUAGAUUUUUUUUAGGCUCUUUAUAUUCCUUUUAUUUGCCUCAAUUCAAUUUCCUUGUCUAGACUUGAUUUUUUUGAAUAUUCUUUUACAUUUAGGAAUAGUUCUUUCAGUUUAACUAGACAUAAUAAUAAUAUUGGUUAUGGAAUUCUUUUUUAUGGUCAUUGUUGGUGUAUAAAUACUAAUGCUAUUGGUGUCAAUGUGCAAAUGUACACAACAAGUAAUAAAGUAAUGAGUAUUCAAGAUCGUCAUUACUUUGAACACAUUGUCCAUUCAAACCUUCAUGUACAUUGACUGGUUGUAUCCCCUCUCUAGGGUUCAAGUUUCUCAAAUCUUGCAAAUCAUCCAUUGCUAUAGCAGCUUGUAAUUCCCGAUGCUCUCUUCUCAAUCUCCUUGCAGUGCUUUCAAUUUCUGGAUCAAACUGGAAGUCAACAGAUUUAUAAUUGCACAUGCAAGGGUUGCUAUAUCACCUAUGUCAACAAAAUAAACAAAUUAAAAUAAAAUAAAAAUAAUAAAAAAUUAGCACCGUUAAAACUAAUUUCACAAAUCACAAUUAACAAUCAAUCCCCGGCAACGGCGCCAAAAACUUGUUGGUGUAUAAAUACUAAUGCUAUUGGUGUCAAUGUGCAAGUGUACACAACAAGUAAUAAAGUAAUGAGUAUUCAAGAUCGUCUCCACAGGGAUUGAUGUUAUUAGACUUGCUACAACAAUCUUAACAGUGCAGAUUUUGUGUCUAAAUUAAGAUAAACAACUGAUGAAACUAAUUUACUAAUUAAAAUAAAAACGCAAUAAAUAAAAUGCAACAAAGUAAACUAUCACGUCAAGCUCAAGGAUAAAACUAAUGGGAAUAUAUAGUAGUUAAGUGAAUAAACUCUCCUAAUGAUCUUGACUUUUUUCUAAUGGUUGGCUCAGUUGCUGCAGUAUUUGCUACAGCACUGGGCAGAAUCUUUAUGCAUCCUUAGCCGUUGCAUGUUGGAUAUCUUAUAUCUAUAUGCAACCUAACAGUGAUCAAUUGUUAUGCCAACAUAAGAUAUAACAUUACACGCUUAGGUUCUAUUUACCCUACAAGGUGAAUCCCUAUGUCUAGUUCAUCACUAAUUUUAGAUCAAGCAUGGCCCUUUUGGGAUAAGUUAAACUCAAUCCAGGAAACCCAAUCUAAAACCAAGUAUUGCUCUGAUAUGUUCCACUAAGAUAGGCCAUUUUGCGGCUCUUUCCUAACUUGUAUCAUUAAAUAGGUGAUCAUCUGAAAUAAUGAAUAAAAAUAAAUACUAUCAAAACAAACUGCUACAGCAAACAUGCAGCAACACAUAUAUUCAGUCAAUAAACCAUCAAGAUUGUCUAUCACUCAACUACAAAUAAAUUUAGUUCAUGAUUUGCAAAAGAAAAAUAAAAAACAAAGUUUCAGCCAUGAAACACAUCCCCAUGAAUAAAUAGAAAACACGAAAAUAAGAGAAGAAUAAGAAGGAUUGAGCUCCCAAUCGAUUUCUACAAAUUCUCCUCUUGUGCAGCCCUUAAUCUCUCUCUUGAAUCUUGUUUUUCUUUUGUUUCUUUGUGUUUUUCUCCUUGGGUGACGGCUCUCCCCAUUCCUCAUGAUGCGUGCUUAUUUUAUAACUAAAAAUUAGGGUAAACGGAAGCCUAGGGCGCGCAUAAGUUAGAUUAGGAAACUGCAGAUCGCAAUUCUGCAAGUAUUCCGCGCGGAAUUGUUCCAGGAUUGCUACAUCAACGUCUAUAGCAAUGGUUGCUACAGCAACUGCACUAUUCCAGAUUUGUUUCAAUUCUUUUGUAUUCAUGUUCUUUCCUUAUUUUUGCAAGCCUAUUGCAUCAGCAUUCCUUCCAUGAAUUCUAAGCUUAUGAAAACCUACAAUUAUGCACACAAUUUAAGCAAAUUACUUUAAAUUAAGCAAAACUUAUUAAGACUAAACUAAAAUAAAUAUUUAUGCAAAAUGUAACAAAAAUACAAUGAAAACACACAAUUUACUCUCUAAGUAGUAUUGAUUUAAGUCUAAAAGUGUCAUGAUAACUCUCAUUACAUAGAGUUAUCAUACUCCCAAACUUAAACCAUUACUUGUCCUCAAGUAAUGACAACAAUGCUAACACUUCAAUCACACAAUCAUGCAACAAAUAACUUAGCUCUGUCAUCAAAUUUACAAGAAUUCUUCCACCCUCAGAUCACACUCUUAAUCACGCAAAAUAGCCUUAAUAGUUUAGUUCUAGACUUAGGCUUCAUUCUGUCAAAAGCGUGUGUGUGCCACUUUGAUCAAAUUCCAGAGGUGCUACAACAUUGCACAGACAUAUAUAAUUCAAAGGUAGAACACAAAUUUAUUCAAAUAUGGGGAAGUAAAAUUCACAAUUAAACUCAAACGGUGCUACAACAAACAUAAUUUUUUUUUUCAGUUAAACCCUUCAAUGCAACAUUGAGCUUUCAUGUGAAUGCAUUUCACUUGUAAUGACGACACCCAAUUAAUCACUCAAAGUAUGUGUCAGAGUUGCUACAACAAUACAUCCAGGAUGUUAUAUCUAGGUCAUACCUUUAGACGCCUUUGACUCAAGGCUGAACAUGGGGCUCAUGAACAGACCAGGUUACUCAGUAUCCUAAGCAGCGGACCUCUUUAUUUUUCAUUCCUUAAUCACUUUUUUUUUGCUUCUUUUUUUUUCAAUAUAUAAUUGCUGCAACACUGCUCAUAACUCUUGUUGCCUUUGGACUCAAGUCUGCAUAUGGGGUACAUACUCAACCUUGGUUACUCAGCAACUUAAGCCAUUGGAGCAAAAUUUAUUUCAUAACAAACACAGUUCAACAAAAAUUUUCUCCCAAACUUGAGAUAUUUUCUACUCUUUUUUUUUUGUUUUCCUGGCUCUGCUACAACAUUCUCAUAAAACUCAACCAAAGUCUAAGUGUCGGGACAGAAUUUCAACCUCCAUCUAUAACUAUCUCUACUUGGCAUUCUCAUAAAUACUUAAUAACACUCAAUUUAUCUUCAUUAGGUUUUCAAAUCUAUAUAGAAAUAUUAGAUAACAGAGCUUCACACAACACACAACACAAGCAUAAACACAACCCCCCUAAACUUGAGUGGUGUUGUGUCCUCACAAGCACACAAAACAAAACAACAUAAACCAGACAUACAUAUACUAAAUAAAAGGACAUGUAGAAUGAAUAAGAAAAUUAAAAUUAAAUGAAAGAAAAGUUUUGCAGAAAGAAGUAAAAUAAACUAACGAGUAGGGGGUACUCCCUUGUUGCUGGAAGCACUGCUGCAGCAUAGGCUAUAAAGGGUCACUUCUUCUUUGAUCCACUUCUCAAACGCACCUUAUCAUAAAAUCUUAUCAAUCCAUUUGCUGCUGCAAAAGCAAGAAAUGCCUCUGUUGUUUGAGAAUCUUCUGUUAUAUGUCAUGUUAUAAGUGUGCUGCAGCAAUUCCUUCCUGGUUUUUUUUUCGCAUUUUUUUUGUUUUUUUACCUACUGCAAUUUAACACAAAAACAUAAAAAUUUAGAUGCACACUUAAAAUAACAACAAGACAAAUUCAAUAAUUUAAAAACUAAAUUUAAUGGUUUAAAGAGUUAAAACAACUUCGCUUAUUGGGUUGCCUCCCAAUUAGCGCUAGAUUUUAGGUCAGCCUAACCUUUCUUGUUCGCUCAACCUGGAUCCUUUAAGAAUAAAUGCUUCUGUAGGCUAUUCACCUUAGCUCCCAUGUAGUGCUCCACUUUCGGCCCGUUAACCUUGAAUUUUUGUUGGUCUGGAGUGAGUUCCCUUUGUUGGAUUUGCUCGUCAAUUCUGAAGGGUUGCUUCUCUCCUGACCAUGCUAUGUUAGCUGCUUCAUGAUCUUCACCAUCAAGUUCUUCCAAUGUUACAACAUUGAUUUCUUCCUUACUGCAGCAACUGUGUAAUUUGUCUGCUACAACAAAGUCCAAAACACUAAUAAAAUUGCAAUCUUCAAUAUCAUCGGGACUCUUUAUGGCAUCCAGCACAUUGAAUGUAAUUUGCUGGUCAUUUACCCUCAUGGUUAAUUCUCCUUUUUGAACAUCAAUUAAAGUCUUUCCCGUGGCUAAGAAAGGUCUCCCUAGAAUGAUUGGCACUUUUUUGUCUGCCUCAAACUCUAGCACAAUAAAAUCCACUGGAAAAUAAAUUUAUCCACCUUCACCAACACAUCUUCAAUCUUCCCUUCUGGAUAUGCAUGAGAUCUGUCAGCAAGUUGUAAAGUCACUGUUGUUGGUCUACAUUCACCAACUCGUAAUUGCUUAAACACUAAUAAAGGCAUGAGAUUGAUGCUAGCCCCCAGAUCACAAAGUGCUUUACCACUGUGUUUAAUGCCUAUGGAGCAUAGGAUUAUGAAGCUUCCUAGAUCCUUCAUCUUUUGUGGUAUCUUACUCUGGAGCAUUCGGCUGCACUAUUGUGUUAGAGCAACUGUUUCAAACUCUCCAAGUCUUCUUUUCUUUGUCAAGAUAUCCUUAAAAAAUUUCACAUAGUUUGGCUAGAGCUUCCACAAAAGGGAUAUUGAUAUGUAGUUGUUUUAGCACUCCCAAGAUUUUACUGAACUGCUUAUCUUGUUUUUGCUUCUAAAACCUUUGAGAAAAUGGUGGUGGAUGUCUAAACUGUUGUGCUGCAGCAGGUUGUGCAGACUGCUUCUCUUUUGCUUUACUCAAGGCUGUUGUUGUUGGUGCUGUAGCUUCCUCACCACCAGGUGCUGGAUCAUAACUUUCUGCAGAUGCUGUAGCAGAACUGUAUUGAUUUGCAUUCUGAAAAGUGGAAGACUGUGACUCAUUCUCUACGUGAGUGUCUUCUUGGCCUUGAGUGGACUCAAUUCUUCUUUUUGGUACACCAACGGGACUAUAAACAUCCUUUCCAGAUCUCAAGUUAAUCACUUUGCAGUGUUCUUUCCCUUCUCUUCUUGGGUCCUCUGUAUUACUGGGUAAACUACCUUGAGGUUUGUUGCUCAAUGCUAUAGCAAGCUGUCCAAUUUGAUUUUCCAAGUUUCUCAAAGAUACAGUAUGACUUUGGACAACUACUUCAUUCUUCACAAUAUAAUCCUUAAUCAAACUUUCAAGCAUUACUAGAAAAAUAGUCUUUACUGACACUUGUCUUGUGACACUUUAUUAAAAAGUAUCAGUAAUUACAUGUGUUUGAGGCAUUUUCCGUGUUUAACAGAUAAGUAUCACAAAUUUCAAAUACUAUAGUGUCUGUAAAUUAAGUAUCAGAGAUAUGUGACAUUAAGCUAUCAGUAAUUAAAAAAAUAAAAUUUUAAUUUGUAUCCACUAGGAGUCGAACCGCUAACUUCUGAACUUUAACUUUUGAAUUUGAAACGUUAAACCACCAAACCACAAGUUGCAUUUUUACUUAAUAAGCAAUAAUUAUCGAAAAUUAAAUUAAAUUAUCUAGAAACUAUGUCGUCUUAAUGAGAUGUACAUGGAAACCUAAAAUCUAAAAAUUUUGACGAGCAAAAAAUCUAUCCCCACCGCCAUUUUCUUCUUUGAACCGAAGCUCUCUUCUCUCCCCCCCCCCUCUUUCUCUACCUCUCUCUCUCUAAUAACGAUCUACCUCACAAGCCGCUGUUGUAAACCUUCAAAGCCGCCAUCCUUGAGCUAAAAUACCCCUGGAAAGACGCCUAGAAAGUGUUGUGAAGAACUUGGCCAAAGUUAGGGUUCGAAAGUCAGAUUAAAAAAAUUAGGGCUUUUUUUUGUUAGGGGUAUUUUAUUGUUUUUAAUGUUGAGUUCAGAGAGAAUGAGUUUGUCGCUGUCGCCAACUAAUUAGACGAAACCAAUAUCAGUUAUAGAAUCCACAGAGGCUGAUAUACAAAGAACUCGUGACUUAGAAAAGGUUUUGUUUUAUCUUUAUCUAUAAUUACUUUUUUUUUAUAUAUGAAACCCUGAUUUUGAUUUCCUUUGGGGUUGAUGUUUCUGGUUGAAGCUGGGCUUUAUGAAAGCAAAGAAGAAGCAGCGAAGAGAGAAGAGGUUCUCGGUCGAAUUAAUCAGGCAAGAAUUUUUUUUUUUAAAUUAUGAGUGAUUUUGAAACUAAGAUGACAUCUUGUGAUAUUUUUGUUAUCAGUUGGUUCAUUCUUGAUUUUGUAAUUUGGUUAUGAAUUGAGCUUGUUUGAGUUGUAUUGGUUAUCUUAGAGAUUUUAUUUUGUUAGAGAAUUUAGUGAUUUUGUAAUCAGGAAGUUUUGUGGGCAUGUUUGGAUUUGGGUGUUUUGCGAACUUGAAUGAGGUUGUGAUUUGGUGAAAUUGAAAUUGAUGUCAAUUUUGAGCUUGAACUAUUGAUUCUAUAGAUGGGUUUUCCCAUACUUUCUAAUACGAACUUCUGAAAUACGGCCAUUAGGGUCUAUGAGUGUAGCAGUUUUAGAAAGUUCGCAUCCAAAGUUUUUCACAAAGUUCUUUGGAAUCCUCUACGAUUACACAAGCAAGGUUAGACUAUAAAAAGCCAACAAAAUGCUUUCAUCGUGAUAUUGCAUAUGAUAAAUUCAGUGAGCAUACAUGAAUGACAUAGAAACAAGAAGAUGAGUCCAAGAACCAAUAGAACAAUGAAACUGAAUUUAAUGUCAUCAAUAUAAAAGAUGUUAUUAAUAGAAACUAGAAAACAGGGGAACCAAGGAUUUUUUAUGAUAAUAUUAUGCAAAUUAAAAGGGGUUGGUAGUGAAGUAAAGCCAAAUAAAGCCAUAAAAAAUUCACUCAUUUCACUGUUAUUUAUACCCACAUAAUGAAUCCCACUUCCUCCACUUUGAAAAUUGAAGAAGACAAUUUUUUGCCUCAUAAUUCGUGAGCUAAAUUAAUCUGAAAAGUCUAGCUAUUACAAUCAAUCGUGUAGCAGUUCAAAUAAAAAAUAUUUAAAAGAACGUGCAUGGUGCAAGACUCUGUUCAACAUAUGAAACUUAUGAAUGAACCCACAAACAAUGGAAGAAACAUAUGAAAACUGAUAAAAUAAACUAAAAAUCUCUGCAGAGAAAUUAUAAGAAUUAAUUACCAGCUUCUUUUCUUCAAUGGAAUAGGGAAGUAUAAUCUUGAAGAAAUAAGACGCAUUGGGUUGAGGUCUCUUGUUAAAAGCCAUUGAUGUUCUCAGUUUCAAUAAGAAAUGAAUGCAAAUGGUUUAGCUUUAUUAUUUCUUCCGGACUUUUAGUGUACCCCAAUUUUUAUCUAUCAUUGGGUGCAUGAUCACUCUGCUGCCCUCCUUGUCCAAUCAAGUUUUUGUUUUAAUAUAUAAAUUUUUGUUCUAAUUUUUUAAACAAGCAUGUACAACUAUCAUUACAGCACUUUAUUUGUUUUAAUCUUUUGUUUUUCUAAAUUGUCCAUCUUAAAAAGUUUCUGGCUGUAGCUCCAAGAAAUUUUGGUAGUUCCAAGGAAUGAUAAUGAUACUUAAAGGUCCAAAGCACAAUAUUGGGCACCUCUCUGUUUCAUUAAGUACUUGCACUUUGACAGAUUGGGCAAGAUGACCAUGAAUGUGGGAUUUUUCAGCUUCAAUAAUCUGGCAAUUCUUAUUGCUCUCUUCUUUCCUUCGGCUGAAAUUCGACAUCUUUUAGAAACAUAUAUUCCCAUUUCUCCAAGUGAAUCACACAAAUCAAGUUCAUCUGAUUCAUUUUUCUCUGCCAACUAUUCCUAUAAUUUUUCAGCUUAUUGAAUAAUUAUUUCUUAGUCUUGACUUCUUUUCCCGAUUUUUUGUUCCUUUUUAUUCUCAGGAAAACAUACACAUUAUCGUAGAUUCCUCUGCCAUGUACAGACUAAGACAGCCCCACACAAGGUUAAAGAGUUAACUUGUGAUUUUUAUUUAUGAAUAUAGUGAUAUUUUUGGUAAAAAGGUAUUAAGAUUAAUGAUAUAAGGCCUUUGUUUGUAAAGUCUAGGUUUGUGAAUUCAAAGGGGGUGGAACUAUAUGAAUUAAAGAUUGCCUUAGAAAGAUAGAGAAUAUGCAGAGGUUUAAGAGGUACAACUCUUAAUUGCCUUGAACUCGAUAUUUAUUGUGAAUAUUCUGGAUUAGUAGCUCCAUCAAUAUAAUGGCUGAAAUGUUUUAUUAUUCUAGUAGAAUAAUUUGGAAUGAGUUGACACUAAUUGCAUUAUACAGAAAGUGUGUAAUUAUCAAGAGUUAAAUGCUUUACUCUCACACUUAGGCUUGAUGGCUAAAAGACAUAAUUGCAAGCCUUUUUUUGAAAAAAUAAAUACGCAAGCCUUUUUUUGAAAAAAUAUACUAUGUUGUAUUAGAUAUUAAAUUUUAUUAUGAAUUUUUUUAGUUGGAGAAUCAUUGUUUUUUGUAUAAUGAGAAAUAAACACACUUUCUUGAAACUAGAUGUUAUACUGAAAACUUGAAUGCUAUAAUUUGCUCUCUCACUCUCUCUUAUUCAUAUAUAUAAGAGAAUGAAUUCAUCAUCACCUUUUUUUUUUUUAAUUUAUAUCUAUAGUUAAAUAUAUUCUACCUUAUUUCUAAUCAAAUGAGCUACAACAUUCUUAUUCUCUAAUUUUCGUUUAAGAUAAUUGAGUUGAUCUAUUCAUAACUUAUGAAUAUUUUUACUUUCGAGCAAAAUAUGUUUAUUUCUAUUAACUUUUGUCUCUGUAUUGCUUGUUAAUUUAUUUUGCAACUGUUGGAAUUUGGCAACCAAUUUCUUUUCCUUUUUCUUUUAUUUGUUUGCAGAUUUGAUUAAUAUGUUUAAAGUGUUUCUUCUUCAACUUAUAUCCCUAACCCAUCAAAUUCAUCGAAUGAAGAAGCUGUCCGUGAAUGAAGAAGCUCUCCGUGAUAAUGCAUGAUCGCAAUACUUAUGUUCAUGGAGUGAAAAAUAAUAAUCCUUCUAAAUUUAGCUUUUAGAUUUGGUAAAUUUAGCCCUUAAAUUCAGCUACGAGAUAGAAGGAAUUUGAUUGGAUAAUAGCAGUUAAGAUUAUUCAAUUAUAAGAAUAAGAUGUCUUGUAAUAAGACGUCUUUGUGUAUUGAAGUAUUUGGAUUGUGUAAUAUAUAUUGAUAAUAUUUAAAUGUUAUGAAAGGUUUUGAUAUAUAAAUUGAUUUUUGUUCUUAUUUCUCACAGCCUUUUAAUUCUAUCAACAAAUCAAUGGGCAACAUGUCAUUUUAUAUAAUUAUUUUUUAAAAAAUAAAUAAAGUAGUGAUACUAUAGUAACAGUAAUCACAAAUACUAAUAUAGUAUUGUAAUAUUUUGAUACCAUAGUGUUAUUAUUUUAGUGAUACUAUAGUAAUAGUAAUCACUGACACCACUUACAAGUGUCACUAUUUUUCUGACUCCCAGAUUACUGACACAAUUAACAAGUGUCAGUAAAAGUAAUUUCUGACACUAUUCUAAAGUCAGUAAAGACCAUUUUUCUAGUAGUGAAGGGAGCUAAGUUGAGCAUUGUUGAUACUUCUUUGCUCUUGAUUUUGCUGAUAAAAUCCAGGUGGUUGAGCAAGUUUGUUCUGUCUAUUGGGUGCUGCAACAGUCUGGUUCUGAUAACUCCAUGAAAAGUUUGGGUGUUGUCUCCAUCCAGGGUUGUAAAUGUUUGAAUAUGGAUUGUCCUGGUUCUAUCUAAUGUAGCUGCCACAUAAUUGAUUGAAGCUGGAUUACCAGGACAAUUGUCAAAUAAAUGCCCUUCUCCACAAUAAACGCAAGACACAUCAGAAAUUUGGUUAACAGUUGCUGGAGCAGUAGUCAUAGCAUUUACCAUCUUUGUUAAUGAAGUUACUUGGGCUGACAAUGAUGUUAACGCAUCUACGUUAUGGACUCUUGUUCUUCCUCCUGCUGCAACUUGUUUGGUUGAUGGCCACUGAUAGUUAUUGUUGGUUAUCCUCUCCAAAAUUUUAUAAGCCUCAUUGUAAGACUUACAUAACAAGGCUCCAUUUACUGAAGCGUCCACCAUCAAUCUAGUGCUUGGGUUGAGACCAUUAUAGAAAGUUUCCAACUGUAUACAGCAAGGAAUACCAUGAUGAGGACAUUUUCUGAGUAACUCCUUAAAUCUCUCUCAUGCGUAACACAAGCUCUCAUCUUCAAGUUGAUGGAAAGAUGUGAUCUCGUUUCUCAACUUUGCAUUCUUGGUUGGCGGGAAGUAUUUCAUCAAAAAUUUGUCAGCCAAAUCAUUCUAUAUAGUGAUAGAAUCUGGUGGUAGAGAAUUCAACAAUGCUCUUGCUCGAUCUCUCAAAGAAAACAGGAAAAGUCUGAGUCUCAAUACUUCUUGCGAUGCUCCAGCAAUCUUGAAAGAAUCAUUCACUUCCAAAAAUAACUUAAGAUGUAGAUGAGGAUCUUCUGAUAACAGUCCAUUAAAUUGCCCUACUGUUUGAAGCAUUUGAAACAUAACGGGUUUGAGUUCGAAAUUGUCAGCUUGAACGUCGGGUCUAACUAUUCCCGGAUGUAUAGCCUAAGGAGUCAACAUUGCGUAGUCUCGAAUGGCUCUAUCUCUAUCGUUCGCCAUGUGAAUAAUGUUGUUGUUCCCAGGUUGCCUUUGAACACAUUGUCCAUUCAAACCUUCAUGUACAUUGACUGGUUGUAUCCCCUCUCUACGGUUCAAGUUUCUAAAAUCUUGCAAAUCAUCCAUUGCUGCAGCAGCUUGUAAUUCCCGAUGCUCUCUUCUCAAUCUCCUUGCAGUGCUUUCAAUUUCUGGAUCAAACUGGAAGUCAACAGAUUUAUAUUUGCGCAUGCAAGGGUUUCUAUAUCACCUAUGUCAACAAAAUAAACAAAUUAAAAUAAAAUAAAAUAAUAAAAAAUUAGCACCGUUAAAACUAAUUUCACAAAUCACAAUUAACAAUCAAUCCCCGGCAACGGCGCCAAAAACUUGUUGAUGUAUAAAUACUAAUGUUAUUGGUGUCAAUGUGCAAGUGUACACAACAAGUAAUAAAGUAAUGAGUAUUCAAGAUCGUCUCCACAGGGAUUGAUGUUAUUAGACUUGCUACAGUAAUCUUAACAGUGCAGAUUUUGUGUCUAAAUUAAGAUAAACAAUUGAUGAAACUAAUUUACUAAUUAAAAUAAAAAUGCAAUAAAUAAAAUGCAACAAAGUAAACUAUCACGUCAAGCUCAAGGAUAAAACUAAUGGGAAUAUAUAGUAGUUGAGUAAAUAAACUCUCCUAAUGAUCUUGACUUUUUUCUAAUGGUUGGCUCAGCUGCUGCAGUAUUUGCUACAGCACUGGGCAGAAUCUUUAUGCAUCCUUAGCCGUCGCAUGUUGGGUAUCUUAUAUCUAUAUGCAACCUAACAAUGAUCAAUUGUUAUGCCAACAUAAGAUAUAACAUUACACGCUUAGGUUCUAUUUACCCUACAAGGUGAAUCCCUAUGUCUAGUUCAUCACUAAUUUUAGAUUAAGCAUGGCCCUUUUGGGAUAAGUUAAACUCAAUCCAGGAAACCCAAUCUAAAACCAAGUAUUGCUCUGAUAUGUUCCACUAAGAUAGGUCAUUUUGCGGCUCUCUCCUAACUUGUAUCAUUAAAUGGGUGAUCAUCUGAAAUAAUGAAUAAAAAUAAAUACUAUCAAAACAAACUGCUAAAGCAAACACGUAGCAACACAUAUAUUCAGUCAAUAAACCAUCAAGAUUGUUUAUCACUCAACCACAAAUAAAUUUAGCUCAUGGUUUGCAAAAGAAAAAUAAAGAACAAAGUUUCAGCCAUGAAACACAUCCCCAUGAAUAAAUAGAAAACACGAAAAUAAGAGAAGAAUAAGAAGGAUUGAGCUCCCAAUUGAUUUCUGCAAAUUCUCCUCUUGUGCAGCCCUUAAUCUCUCUCUUGAAUCUUGUUUUUCUUUUGUUUCUUUGUGUUUUUCUCCUUGGGUGACGGCUUUCCCCAUUCCUUAUGAUGCGUGCUUCUUUUAUAACUGAAAAUUAGGGUAAACGGAAGCCUAGGGCUGGCAUAAGUCAGAUUAGGAUACUGCAGAUCGCAAUUCUAUAAGUAUCCCGCGCGGAAUUGUUCCAGGAUUGCUACAGCAACGACUACAGCAAUGGUUGCUACAAUAACAGCUACAGCAACUGCAUUGUUCCAGAUUUGUUUCAAUUCUUUUAUAGUCAUGUUCUUUCCUUAUUUUUGCAAGCCUAUUGCAUCAGCAUUCCUUCCAUGAUUUCUAAGCUUAUGGAAACCUACAAUUAUGCACACAAUUUAAGCACGAAUUACUUUAAAUUAAGCAAAACUUAUUAAGACUAAACUAAAAUGAAUAUUUAUGAAAAAUGUAACAAAAAUGCAAUGAAAACAUAUAAUUCACUCUCUAAGUAGUAUUGAUUUAAGUCUAAAAGUGUCAUGAUAACUCUCUUUUCAUAAAAUUAUCAGUCAUACAAAUUAAAGCUUGAUAAUAUUUUUGGUAAAUCUCUAUUAACUUGCAUCAUAAUGUUGGCACUAUAUGUGGUUUAGUGAAUAAAAGUUUAGCUUACUUGUGGCAUAAACAUUUGGGUCAUAUAUCCAAAUCAAGAACAUGGAUUUUACUAAUAUUGAUAUUUGUAUUGAUUGUAUUAAAUGAAAGCAAAAAAAAAUAUGCAAAUAAAAAAAGAGCCACAAAAAGUACACAGUUUCUCGAGAUUAUACACACUGAUAUAUCAGGACUUUAUAACAUUCCAUCUUUUGGUGGAGCAAAGUAAAAUUCAUAUCCUUUCAGAUAUGGAUUUUACUGAUAUUGAUAUUUGAAUGGAUUGUAUUAAGGAAAAAAAAUACACAAGUAAGAAAAGAGCCACAAGAAGUGCACAAUUUAUUAAGAUUAUACACAACGAUAUAUUUGGACUUUAUAACAUUCCAUCUUUUGGUGGAGAAAAGCAUCACCUUUAUUAAUGAUUUUUUACGUUAUGGUUAUAUCUAUCUGUUGCAUGAAAAAUCAAUCAAUGGAUGUCCUAGAGGUAUUUAUCAAUGAGGUUGAAGCGCAACUGAAUAGAAAGGUGAAAAUUGUCAAGUUUGACAAAAGUGGUGUAUAUUAUGGACGAUAUAUUAACAAUGGACAAUGCCCUAGUCCAUUUGCUAAGGUUCUUCUAGUGUCGUGGCCCCUCCAGCAAUUAAACAGUAAUAGCAGCAAUGAUGUCCUGGAUACUACUUCUCGCCUCUUAAAAGGAAAGGAUAAUUAUCACAAUAAUUGAGGGAUUGCACAAUCCUUCCUUAUCUAUAACUCUGAUCUGCCAACUUUAUCCUGACAAAACUCCCAAUAGUAAGAAAAAUUUCCACGGCUUUGUCACUGUAACGAUAAAAAAAAAUCAUUGUUGCAGUAAUCAAUUUCGAUGCUAUAACAACAACAAUAAAUUGUCUUGAUGUAUGAGAACCAUUGCCCAACUUCCUUGUUGUAUGUAAUGCUACAACAACUCAUGUUAGUUUCUUAGCCUUUUUUUUUUAGAUAUAUGUACUACAAGAAAAUAAAUUAACUAAUCAAUUUAAAAUGACAAAAAUUUUGAAUGAAAAAUAUGCAAAAUUAGACUUAAUGUUGAAAGAAAAAUCUAAAAUAACUUCUUACUCAUUGGGUUGCUUCUCAAUCAGUGCUUGAUUUUAGGUCCUUCAGCCUGACCAUCCGUGCUUGCUCAUGUGGGGUCUCUCAUCCAAUAACGUUCUUGUAUCUCCCCAAUACAUCCAUCAAGCUCUUCUCUUGAUCUGUUUAAGAGGUCUAAAUAUUCAAAAUGUUUGCAUUUCUCACGGGUUCCUUCUCCUCUGACCAUAUUAUGUUAGCUGUUUCACGAUCUUUAUCAUCAAGUUCUUCAAAUGUUACAGCAUUCAUUUCCUCCUUAAUGCAACAACUAUUUAAUAUUUCUGCUAUAGCAAAGUCCACAACACUGAUAAAAUUACAAUCUUUAACCUCAUCAGGACUCUUCAUAGCAUCUAGUACAUUAAAUGUAACUUACUGAUCAUUGACCCACAUAGUCAACUCUCAUUUUUGCACAUUAAUGAAAGUCUUUCUCGUGGCUAAGAAAGGUUUUCCUAGAAUGAUUGACGCAUAUUUGUCUGCCUCAAAGUCUAGCACUAAGAAAUCCACUGGGAAAAUAAAUUUAUCCACCUUCACCAAUACAUCUUCAAUAUUCCCUUCUGAAUAGGCAUGAGAUCUGUCAGGAAGUUGUAAAGUCACUGUUGUUGGUCUACAUUCACCAACUCCCAAUUACUUACACAUUGAUAAAGGCACGAGAUUGAUACUAACCCUCAUAUCACAAAGUACUUUGCCACUGUAUUUAGUACUUAUGGAGCAUGGGAUUGUGAAGCUUCUUGGAUCUUUCAUCUUCUACGGUAUCUUACUUUGAAGCAUGUAGCUACACUCUUGUAUUAGAGCAAUUGUUUUAAAUUCUUCAAAUCUUCUUUCUUUGUCAAUAUCCUUCAAAAAUUUCGUAUAAUUUGGCAUUUGCUCUUGAGCUUCCACAAAAUGGAUAUUGAUAUGUAGUUGUUUUAGCACUCCCAAGAUUUUGCUGAAUUGCUUGGCUUGUUGUUGUUUCUGGGACCUUUAAGGAAAUGGUGGUGGAUGUCUAAAUUGUUCUGCUGUAGCAGGUUGUUCAGACUGCUUCUCUUUUGCCAUGUUCUGGGUUAGUGCUGUAGUAUCAUUAUCCACAGGUGUUGGAUCAUCAUUUUUUACAGAUGUUGUAGCUUAGUUAUGAAAUACUAACUAGGCAACCCAAGAGGGGGGGUGAAUUGAGAUUUUAAAAUUUAAACUAAACAAACCACACAACAAUUCAAUCUAAUGCCUUAAUGGAAUCGAAAACAAUAAAUUCAAUAAAUCACAAUAAUAAAAGAGUAAGGGAAGAGAAAAUAAACACAAAGAUUUUUACGUGGUUCGGCAAUCCCCGCCAACGUCCACGCCUCCAAGCACACCGGGCUUGAGGAUUUCACUAUCCAAGCCUCCCAAGGCUUCAAAAGCUUACAAUUGACUUCCAAGGUGUCAAUGAACCUUUGCAAUAAAGAGAUUAUCUCUCAAUCUCUUCACUCAAGUGUCUCACACACUUAAACACUCACAAAUUUGAUGAGGAAUUGAAAAUUACAACAAAAACUCUCUCAAAUAGUAGAUAUACAAAUUGAAGAACAAAGAUGAUUCAAUAAAUGAUUAUUUACGAAAUUGAAGCUUAAUAUAUGUUGUGUGCACUUGUUUUUGCUUGCCAAGAUUACCAAAAAUGAAUUAGAUUUGAGUUUAUAUAGUUUGAACUAAAACACUAGCCGUUAUGCACAUUUUGGUCAUAACCGGCUUAACGGUUAUGGACAUCCGGUUAGCCGCUUAAUGUUACUGUUACAGCCACAAUUUUGAAUUUCUAAACAUCUGGUAUGCCGCUUGUAAAAUCCGGUUAGCCGUUUAAGUUUCAGAGACAUUCUGCCCGAAUUCGGUCUACCGUUUGUCAGGAUCCGGUUAGCCGCUUGCUACAGUAACUGCUACAGUGAAAUAUUUUUCAAAUUUAUAAUUUGACCCCAAAACUUUAUAAAAUUGUAUUAUGCCUCAAAACGUUAUGAAACGUUUCAAAUAGGUCCAAUUUCAGAAUUUUUAAAUAUUACUUUAUUAAUCCUAAAACUUUUUGAAAUUCAGAUAUGACCCAAAAUAUAUGAAAAUUAUAGAAUGACCCAAAACAUUUAAAUAUUUUCAAAUAGGUCCAAAUCUGAAAUUUUAAAACAAUAUCAAAGGUUUUAAAAUACUUUCAUUUUAGUCCAAAACACUUUAAUUCCAUAACAUCAUUUUCCCAUUAAAUAUGAAACCUUUAUAAUGUGAAAAUAAUGAUUUAUUUAAAAAGUAUAAAAAAUAAUUUGAGCUUAAAAGAUUAAUUUUUAAUCUUGUUUGUUAUCAUCAAAAUCAACAUUAUGGAAAUAUAUAUGUUAACAAGCUAUUCUUACCAGUAUGUUUUGAAGUGGAAGAUUGUGGCUCUUCUUGAAUUUGAGUUUCUCUUUGGAUUGAAGUGGACUCAACUCUUCUUUUUGGUACACCAAUUUGACUAUGCACAUCCUUUCCAGAUCUCAAGUUAAUCACUUUGCAGUGCUCUUUCCCUUCUCUUCUUGGGUCCUCUAUAUUGCUUGGUAAACUGCUCUGAGGUCUGCUGCUCAAUGUUGUAGCAAGCUGUCUAAUUUGAUUUUCCAAGUUUCUCAAAAAUACAAUAUGACUUUGGAUAACCGUCUCAUUCUUCAUAAUAUAAUCCUUAAUUAAACUUUAAGGGUUCUAUCUAUUGAAGUUGCUCACAUAGUUGAUUAAGGUUGGAUUCCCAGGACAAUUAUCAAAUAAUUGUCUUUCUCCAUAAUAAACGCAAGCGACCUCGGCAACUUGAUUAAUAGUAUUUGGAACAGUAGUCAUAGCCCUCACCAUAUUUGUUAACGAGGUUACUUGUCAGCUGUCAAAGUGUCUAUAUUAUGAACCCUCGCUAUUCCUCUUGCUGCAACUUGUUUAGUUGAUGGCCACUGAUAGUUAUUGUUGGCUAUCAUGUCCAAAAUUUCAUAAGCCUCAUUGUAAGACUUAGAUAACAAGGCCCCAUUUGCUGAAGCAUCCACCAUCAAUCUAGCACUUAAGUUGAGACCAUUGUAGAAAGUUUCCAACUGUAUGCAGCAAAAAAUACCACGAUGCGGACAUCUUUCGAGUGACUCCUUAAAUCUUUCCUAUGCAUCAGACAAGCUUUUAUCUUCAAGUUGAUGGAAAUAUGUUAUCUUGUUCCUUAAUUUUGCAUUCUUAGUUGGCAAGAAUUAUUUCAUCAAAUAUUUGUCAGCUAAGUCAUUCCAUAUAGUGAUGAAAUCAGGUGGUAAAGAAUUCAACCAUACUCUUGCUCGAUCUCUCAAAGAAAACGAGGAAAGUCUUAGUCUCAAUGCUUCAUGCGAUGCUCCAGCAAUUUUGAAAGCCUCACUCACUUCCAAAAAUAGCUUAAGAUGUAGAUGAGGAUCUUCAGAUGGCAGCUCGUUAAAUUUUCCCACUGUUUCCAACAUCUGAAACAUCACGGGUUUAAGCUCAAAAUUGUCUGCUUGAACGUCGGGUUUAACUAUUCCCAGAUGUAUGGUUUGAGGAGUCAACACUGCAUAGUCUCGAAUGGCUCUAUCUCUAUCAUUCGCCAUGUGAAUAAUGUUGUUGUUCCCUGGUUGCCUUUGAACAUGUUGUCAAUUCAGACCUUCAUGUACAUUGACUGGUUGUAUCUCUCCUAUAGGGUUCAAGUUUCUUGUAUCUUGCAAAUAAUCCAUUACUAUAGCAGCUUAUAAUUCUGAUGUUCUUUUCUCAAUCUCCUUACAGUUCUUUCAAUUUCUAGAUCAAACUGGGAUUCAACUUAUUUAUAUUUGCGCAUGCAAGGGCUGCUAGAUCACCUAUGUCAACAAAGUAAACAAAGUAAACAAAUUAAAAUAGAAUUAAAAAUUAGCACCGCUAAAAUCUUGUUGUGAGAAUUCUAAUGCUAUUGGUGUCAAUACGCAAGUGUACACAACAAGUAAUAUAAUUAUGAGUAUUCAAGAUCAUCUCUACAGAGAUUGAUGUUAUCAAACUAGCUACAACAAUCUUAACAUUGCAGAUUUUGUUCUAAAUUAAAAUAAAACAACUAAUGAAGUAAUAUACUAAUUAAAAUAAAAACUGAAUAAAUAAAAUGCAACAUUGUUGGAAUUGAAAUAAAAACCAAGGAGUUUCUAUCUAAGAACUUCAAAAUGAAAAUGAGUAAGGCGUCCUAUGUGAUUGGAAUUGAAAUAUUCCAUGAUAAAGUAUAAGGAUUGUUAAGGUUGUCUUAGAAAGCAUAUAUUAAUAAAGUUUUAGAGAGAUUCAAAAUUUAAAAAAAAAAUGUUAUUUCAGUUCAGAAAAGGGAUAAGUUCAGCCCUAUACAAUACCUAAAGAACAAAUUAGAAUGCAAAUAAAUUGAAAAGACUCUUUAUGCAUCCAUGUUGGAAGCUUGAUGUGUGCUUAGACAUGCACCAGGCUAGACAUCAAUUUUACUGUCGGGGUGGUAGGCAAAUAUCAAAGUAAUCAUGGAUUAGAUAAUUGGAAAACUGCAAAGAAAAUAUUGACUUGCAAUGAGUGAAGGAUACAUGCUCGUUUAUAGGAGAUUUGAUCAUCUAAAAGUGAUAAAAUAUGCAGAUUCAGAUCAUGUUGCCUGAGUGGAUAUCAAAAAAUCCACAUUUGGCUACUUGUUCAUGAUGGCUAGAGGAGCCAUCUCAUGGAAAAGUGCGAAACGGACUGUCGUUGUUAUUUACGUUAUGGAAGCUGAGUUUGUGGCUUGCUUUGACACCACUGUUCAUGGAUUAUGGUUGCAGAACUUUAUUUCAGGGCUUAGAAUUGUCGAUAGUAUUACCUAGCAGCUAAAGAUUUAUUAUGAUAAUGUCGCAUCAAUAUUCUUCUCUAAAAAUGAUAGGUAUUCAAAGGGUGUUAAACAUAUAGAAUUAAAAUACCUUCCCAUUAAAAAGAAGUUCAGAAACGAAGAGUGUUAAUCGAUCACAUUAGUACCAACUUUAUGAUUGCCAAUCCUUUAACAAAAGAAUUAAACCAGAAAGUUUUUAGUGAACAUGUUGAAAAGAUGGGUGUUACUGAAUCCAUUAUUGACAUUAAGUUUAAGUUUUUAGGCUCUUUAUGUAUUGGACACUCUGAGCUCAUUUAAGUACUAUUUCUUAUUCUUUUAUAUCCUGUUUGAUUUAAUGGUAUAUACAUGAAUGAUGAUAUGAUUGUUAGCAGGUUUUGUCUCUAAGGCAUUAUUAUUGGACCAUUAUUAUUUCUUUCUCAUUACAGGUCAUGUUAAGCAUAAAACUGAUAAUGUGAUACACGGACAGAGCUACAUCAAAAUAAUGAUGUGGAACCACUAUGAUCUAUAUUAGUUUUUGCGUAGUGAUGAUUUAAUGAUUUGACUAAUGUAAUUAAGAAUUUAGCCCUUACUAUGCUCAUACUGUUUAUUAUUAUCAAACCAUUAAGUUGACUGUGUCACAUGAGCCAAGUGGGAGAAUGUUGGCGAAUUUUAUUAGUGGCCCAUGUGCUACAUUAUUGAAUGAGUUAUAAUCGGGGUUUAAAUAAUAAAAUAAAUAAUGGACUGAAAUCCUAUUGUUAAUUGGAAAAAAUUGACUGCUUUGAUGGAAAGUGGCUAAUAAAGGUUUUAUUAAAAUUAGUCCUCUCUCUAGCCAAAAGAGAUAUCACGUUAAUUUUCUCUCUAUUAGAAAGUGAGUCACUCUAUAAGGGUUGAGAGAGAAAUUAAUUUUGCAAACCUUUAAUUCUUGAAGUAAAAUUUAAUCAAGAAAAUUGCUAUGGAUCAAGGCAUUUUUUCUCUCAAUUAGGGUGAUGUGAAAAUCAUGAUAUUCUAUAAUUAUGGGGAUUGAAGUUUAUGCAAAUUAGGAUUUACUUGCUUUAUGAGAAUUGUAAGAAAAAUUCACAACACCCCGGCAAAUGGAAAUUAUAAAAAAAAAAUGAAAAUAAGUAGCUAAUAUUGACAUGUUUUGAUGGGAAAUUUAUUUUGGGAGGUGUUUAUUACUCCUUUGGUUUUGGUAACAAAUGUGGCUUGUCCAACUAGUUAUUCAUCAAUCUUAUCAUUAUUUGAAAAAUUAUCACGGCUUAGUUAUGUAUAUAUGUUUUUGCAUAAUUUUAACUGACUGUAAGGCUAAAAUGUGCUCACGUUCUAAGUUAUCUUGAUUUUAAAGAUCUUGUGAUAGGGAUAAUUUAGUAACAGUGUUUUGAUAGAAUUUUAUUUUAUUAAUAAUCGUCUUAGGGAUGUGACUAAGUGAUUUUCUAAUAGUUAUAUUUAGGGCUAAAUAAUUAAUUUGGUUUUUAAAUAAAAAACUUGUUAAUUAAUCAAUUAUUUUUGGAUGGCUCUAAAAAAAUAUCACCAUGCUCAAUAAUAGAUAUUAGACUGUUAAGAAAGCAUAAGGAUGGUACAAAAGGUUCUUGUAUUAUUGGGAAGCCAUCAUUGUAUUGGAGAGUAGCUUGACAAUCACCUUAGUUAGAUAGAAAGAGGUUACUUAAUCCCACAGUAACUACUAUAAGAAGGCUUUUUUUUUUAAAAGUCAAGCUCAAACUAUAUUCAAAAGUGAAGUCGAAAUUAUAUAACAACUACGGAAAAGCCACAAAACUAGAAUGAAUUGUUGUGUCUUUUUAUAUUACGUCCUAUCAACUUUUUUAAUUAUUUCUAAUAUUAUUUUGGAACACUAUUGAAUAAGGGAAAUUUAUAAAAAUGCCCAUAAAACUUUUGCACUUUUCAACUUUGACCCCUUAAAGUUUUUUAUAUCAUAACUAGCCAAAAACCCUAUUUUUGGACUAAAUUACUUUCAUCACUUUCAUCAAAUUUACAAAGGCAUGCCACUUUUUCAAUUCCAGCACCACUAAAUACGAACUUCCUCAACAACUUACAAACUUCAUCACUCUCAACAAACUCCAUCACUCUUAAUAAAUCAACAAAUUGCAUCAAACAAGUAUUGCAUAAUUGAAGAUACAAUUAUCAAUUGGAGAGCUUCUUAGGGUUAGUUUAUACUCUUAUCAUAACCUAAACUUUGAAUCUAUGGAUUUUAUCAUUUAAGUUCGAAAUUAAAGUGGGUUUUUGUUGCAAACGUUGUUAUUUUUCAUUAAUAACAUAAUGUGAUUUUUUAAAAUACUUAGUUUGAGUUGAGCAAUGAAGAUAAAUCAUUGAAACCCCUAACAAAUCGAGCAAAAAAGAAGCACAAAACAAGUGAGACAGGGGUCUGUCUCACAUAAAACUAGUUUAUGUGAGAAUGCACCUGUCCCACUGCCUAUCUCACUUGUUCCCAUUGGUUUUAUGUGAGGCGGGCACUGUCCCACUAUCGAUCUCACUAAAUUUCAGUUAUUUUCUUAAAGUCAUAACUUGGGCUACAUGUGUCCGUUUUAGGCGUAUAAUAUAUCGUUUCGAAACUUACGACGAGACAAAUCAAAUUUAAAAUCAUAUACCUCAUUUCAUCCAUAUAAAUGCAGUGCAUAUUCACUUUACCAUAUUUUGUAGCGUGUAAUCUUAUAUCUUUUUUUUUAUUUUUAGGUUUAAUGGAUUCCGUUGUGCUUCAAUUAUAUUACGACGGUUGGUCGGAGACGUUAGCAGAUGGGCAUACGGAGUAAUGAAUACCAAGAAUACAACAUUUUUAGUUCGAAAAAAUUAUAUGCUUGAGUAAUUUCUGGCAAAGGUGUAUGAAGUUUUACAGAUAAAUCCUAACGAAUAUAGUAUGACAAUAAAGACAACUUUGAGGUCUAGUAACACAAUGUAUCGUGCAUGUUCACUACAAAUGGACAUAUUUAAUGAUGAAAUGGUUAAGGUUGUACUGUACAUGGCCUAUAAUGUGGUCAAUUAUGGAUGCAUCCCUAUAUUUGUCACUACAUCUACUCGAGUUCCGGCCGAAAAUCCUGAGCCACUUGUGGAAAGUGAAACUUCGUUUAGAGCAAACGAGUUUGUCCCCAAUAUCGAGGAAGAGGUGUUACCACAGUAAAUGUCGUUCCAGCAACGUUACUCUCCACUCAAAGAAAACAAUGAUACCAUUGAUGAGAACGGCAUUACGUUAGCGGAUGUUGAAAAAGGGGUGUUACCUUUAGGGACAUCAUUAAGGCAACAUUAUUCUCCAUUUCAUAAUAAUGAUUUCCGCAGUUACGAUGAUCCUGCUAAUGACACUAACAACACAAAAGCUGAUAAUGCUUGCUUGGAACCGUUCAAUAGCAUGCAAGGCAUGAACUCCAAUACUGAAGUUUAUGAUAAGGGCAUUGGUCAUUUCGAUAUUCCUAUCAAUGAUGAGGAUGGGCAUCAGUAUGAUAUUCCUAUUAAUAAUAGAGAAAACCGACAUAUUCCUUCAAUGGCCCGUUCGAGGAGGAGGACAACAGUUAAUCCCCUCGUGAGUCUUGCUCUAAUUUUGCCUUCAAACUUGGUUGCUCCAGACUUAGUUAGAAGCUGUAAUUCUACUGACAUUGGUGUGGGUAAGUUGUUCGCUGAGAAGAAUGAGUUAAUACCGGAACUACGCAAAGUGGCCUUGCGGGAAAAGUUUGAUUCCAAGAUUGCACGGUCCACAACGACAUGCUUUGAGGCCCAUUGUUCUUCAGAAUCAUGUAAAUGGCGUCUUCGUGCAACGAGAGGUUCGAAUGAGCGGAAUGUUCCUUGGGUAGUGAGAAUAGUUGACAAUGUUCACAUGUGCUCUAAUGAGGUAUUGCCUAGUGGUCUCCGUCAAGUAAGGAGUCGGGUUGUUGGCCAUCUUAUCACGGAUAAAUUUAUUCAGGACAAAUGGAUAUACACGCCGAAUGACAUUAGAGCAUACAUGCAGUAAUGAUACGGUGUCCAGUUAACAUAUCAGCAAGCAUAUCAGGCUAAAGAAGUCGGUCUUGAAAUAGUACGAGGGAACCUUACACACCGAAUAAUCAUUACAGAACUUUUUCCUUGCCUAUUAUCAUGAAAUAAGAAAGUAAUGAGAAAGUGUUGUCGUUGAGGUAUGAAUAGACUUCACCGAAGUUUAUAUUUGAAGAAGCCAUGGGCUUCCAUCGCACGAUUCUAGGACUCAUUCCCUUAAUUUUCACCGCCCACUGUAAUGGUAGUCCUCUAAUCACUUCAAAAAUCCAUGCCUUCAACAAGGAAAUAUAUAAAGUCAAAAAAUGUUUCAUUAAAUAUUCAUUAUAAUAAAGCUAAGUUAUAAAAAAAAAAUUCUUCACUCACAUGCACUGCAGACGUAAAGCCAUAAAUAUUGUAUUUUUCAAUUUUAUGCGAGGGAUUUUAUGCGCAUUCCUUCUUAAAUUUAUUGGCUUUGUCAGUCAAUGCAUUAUCAAGGCUUUCAUAUAUUGUUUCCUAGUGAUUUAUGUCAUCUACCUCGUUAAGAAAAUUGAAAUUGAUUUGACAAUGAUCUUUUCUUCCAUUUAGUACUCUAUCAGCAAAGUAAAACAGGGUGAUUUUUAGCGCAUCAGUGUCAUCCAUAGCCCUGAAGUCUAAGUCCAUAAAUCUUUGCUCGAACUGGUCAAGAUUUAUCUCGCGAAACCUGCCGACAAAAUACUUCUUAAGUAACCUAUGCAUUGUUUUAUGCUUUGUCAACACGACAUCUUCGCCAUAGCAAAGUCUCGUUACUAGGCACCACUCUCCAAUCGAUAACCGUAUCAAAUGGUCGCCAGCUUGAAACCAUAACUCAUCUUUGUCAUUUCCAGCGCCAUGGGACACUUGCCGAAACAAUAUAUUAUGGACAAUUACGCCACUUAACGGAUAGCUUCGGCACUGGAGGAAAUUCCCAACUAUAUCAUCUUUGAAAAGAUUCAACUGCUGCUUUGUGAAUUUUUCCCGGAUGGCAUUAACAACGACAUAUAAUUUGCACAUACUGUGAUACGCCCGGGAAAGUGAUGGCCGUAAGGUAUCUUCAUCAUUCUCGAUUCUUUCCUCGGUCCAGGUGUUGUUGUCACACCAAGAGGUGCUGCCUCUUGGUGCGACAGGCACCAACCGCGCAGCCUGUCGUGCAUGAGAUGCGCUCAGACUAGCAUGCAGCUCGCGCACACAGGCUAGUGUGCACACGUAGCGUGCGAGAUGGACCUGUCGCACGCGAGAUGCACGCAAUAGCUACAUCCCGCGCGCACGGAUGGGCCUGCGGCACGCGAGAUACACGCGACAGGCCCAUCCGCGCGUGCGGCGUAUGUUGUGAAAAUUUUAAUAUACUCGAAAGCGCACGAAUCUAGAGAUAGAAUAGUGGUAACGAGGUCGAUCCCACAGGGAUUGUUAUAAAUUAAAAAGUCUAAUUUAAAUCUAAAAUUAAUAUUAAUCCUAACCUAGUUGAGCAAUUUGAAUUUUUAAAAGAAAUUAAACUUAUUAAACUAAGAAAACAAUUAAAGCAAAUGAGAAAUCAAUAAGACAAAAAUUACCAAGGUUUCGGAAUCCACCACUAUUCAAUUAGUAAUUAUUUAAAUAUUAGGGUUAUUAUCAUUUUACUACUUCAGGAAUUGACAAAUAUCAAAUGACUACAACAAUUAUUGUCUCCUAUCAUUUUACUACCAUAUCUUUAUAAAAAUAUCAUUUUACUACUUUUCUGUUACAAUUGUUAGUUGACUAACAAAAUACCAAUUUUACCCUUCAUGAUUAAAAAAAUAAUAAGAUAAAUUUUGUAAUUCAUAUAUCAUAAUUCUAGCAAAAAACAUUAUAUUGAUAUUUUAUAUCCAUUUUAAUAAAUAUAUUACAAAUUUAUUUUGUAAAUAAGCUUCAAAUAUAUUUUUUUUAAUCAUGAAGGGUGAAAUUUUUAUUUUGUUAGUCAACUAACUGGUUAACUAACAGUCAACUAAUAGUUGUAAUGAAAAAGUAAUAAAAUGAUAUUUUUAUAAAAAUAUAGUAGUAAAAUGAUAGGAGAUAAUAAUUGUUAUAGUCAUUUGAUAUUUAGUAAUUCUUGAAGUAGUAAAAUGAUAAUAACCCUAAAUAUUAAUUAAUCCCCAAUUUUAGAGUAACAACUCGAAAUCAAUCUAUGUCAUAUCAUAAAUAUAACAAUUAAGCCCAAUUAAAAUUAAUCUUGUGUAGGUUCUUUUUCUGCUUAAUAGUAUGAUAUCUAAGUAUCCCAUGUAAACAUAUUGAAUAAUAAAAAGUCAAAGUUUUCCUAAGUACUUUGUGUAAACAAUUUAGUGAAAGACAUAGAAUCAAAGAUAAUCAUGCAUAAACUUUAUAGAUCCAAGCAUAGAUUUAAUCGAAUAUUAAUCCUAACAAUCAAUAAUGCAUGACAGAAUUAAUGAAAAGAUUUUAAUAAUAUCCAAUUAAUCAUGUGAAGUAAAAAUAUAAUCAUCAAAGAACAUAUAUAGGGAAUUAAAUAAAUAAAUAAGAGAAUUAUUUCAUUAAAUAGGGUUUCAUCAUUAACCUCAGUAUAAGAAAAUUAACUAGACAUACUUGAAUAGAGAGCAACACAAGAAAUAAAAUUAGCCAUGGAAGCCGAACUGCUGCUGCUGCCGAAUACUCUCUGUCUUGCGGCUACACUUUUUUUUUUCCUCUCUGGCGGUUGUCCUCUAAUUCCUUUUAUAUUAUAACGCCACCACAAAAUCCUCAAGUCAAAAGGAUUUUCAAACAAGCCAAGCACACCCAACUUUAAGCCCAUGCACGUGAAGCACACUUGAAAUUAAUGGUCAAUGCUUUUCCAACUAUUCACGUGAGAUGCACAAGCCAAUUAUUCUCCUUUAAGCAUCCUUUUUCCUUUUUUCUUUUAUUCUUCACAAGCAGCAAUUAUUUCCAUAAACUCUAAUUUGUGUCCUUUUUAAGCUCCCUUUCAUGAAUUGCUUCCACAAAUUAAUUUGAUCUUCAAUACUGUCCAAUUAUUAUUCCUUAUGCAUUUUUCAUCCAUAAUCUCCAAUUAAUCCCCUAAUCAAUAAAAUAACUCAAUUAAUUAAAAGAAACAAAUAAAAAUAACUAGCAAUUAUAUAAUUAAGGGUAAAAUAUGUAUAUAAAUUAUGUUCAUCAGCAUACGCGAGCCAGCCUGCACGCGCGAGUUGCGUGCCAGCCUGCACGUAUCUCGCGCGCCAGCCUUCCCUUUCCCACGUGCAUCUCACCCACCACCGCCAUUAAACACCAACAGCAGCCCAAAGACUCAAUCCAUCACCAACGCAACCAACACAACACAACAACAACAACAAAACACAACAAGUCAGGUUUUUAAUAACUCACCUAGGGUUUUCAAUUUUAGUCUUUGAUUUUGGAAUCUCCGAAGAUUUUGAACGUGAUAUAGCUUAUUUCAGUCGCCGAAAACUACCUCCGCUGUCGAUCUACACCACUGACGAUGUAUACGGGAUUCCGGUGAUGAGAUUUUGGUGAGAGGGGGAGGAAUUGGGCUUAAGAGAAACGUGAGAAUGAUGAGGGUAGUUUGGUCCUCAAUUUUGGGAUUUGACUAAUGUUGAUUGAAAAAACUUUGGGGGAUUAAAGUUGAAAAACGCAAAAAUUUUGUGGCCAUUUAUGUAAAUUUCCCAUUGAAUAACAAAUAGAAAAAUUUUAAGCCAUAGUCUUAGUUAACACAAAUGGAUGCAAUAAUAAGCAAGAUUAGGAUACUUAACGGCUUGGCAUAUAAUUCAUGGCCAUAUUGAUCAGAUCCAAGGAAUUUUUGGUUAGAUGUUGAGCCACAAUCAUUGUCACUGUAGUCGACUUGAGGGUUUGGACCGACAUAAUCUUUGCGGAGUUUUCUUAUCACCACGACCAACACGAGAAUAAAAGGUUAUUAUUAGGAAUACAAGGACGAGAAGGGAAGCAUUGGAAGCUGAGGAGAUUUUCUUAAUUGUGAUAAGAAAUAGAUUUGGCUAAUUAAAUAAGGGUGAUGAUACAGCCACAAACUUUUGUAUAAAUUUAUCUUGUACAAACUGACAUGCCAUUAGUUCAUUGGUUGAAUGAAAAUAUAAAAUAAUAAAAACAAAUCAUGUGGGACAAGUGAUAUUUAAUUCAACCAAUCUUAUCAUGCCACGUCAGUUUGUACCAAAUAAGUUUGUAGAAGAGUUUGUGACUAUAUCAUUACUCAUUACUCAUUAAAUAAUUUGUGUCAGUGAUAUCCUAUCAACUUGUGCCUAAUAAUUUAAUUAAUUUACUUCUUUCAUAUUACAUUUACUCCUAAUGAUAAAUAUAUAAAGUCUUCUUUUUCUUCUUUUUUCUUUUUUUAAUUACGAGCAUGUAAUGCAUAUAAAAAAACAUAUUUUUUAAAUUCGGCAGCUGUAAAUGUAAUCGGCCACUUAUGCCAGAGUGUGGCUUGUUCUAAGUAUCUCUUAUUUUCCAUUUAUAUUAUUAAGCUAGAGUGUUCUAAGCAUCUUUUAUUUUCCAUUUAUAUUGUAGCAACUUCCUGAUUAUUAUAAUAGCUUUUUUUUUUUUUUUUUUUCAAUCCAUAGAAUGUAAGAAGCUCCUGAGAAUAAGAACCUAACUUAAGAAGUGAAGGUUGCCUCAAGCUUAUUACUUUGUAAGCUAAUCAGACACUUGCUUGGAUCCAUUAAUCCACAAGGGAAAGAUUCGUGCCCUUAUAUUCUGUUCAUAUGUUCUCUUGUGAACUAUUCAACUUGGAAAUCAUUGGAAAUCGUUAGAUACUGGGUACAGCUAAUGUAAUUUGGGAUUAGAGAUUCCUCUCCGACUAUUUUCUCUCCUAGUCAUUCUAUCACAAAUGACAUGAUACUCAUAUAACCGACAUGUCAUAUGCGUAUAACUGAUAUGUCAUAUAUAUAAUGUUUAUUAAAACGACUUAUCAUACAUUUCUAGAAACCCAGAUUUCGAGACCUUUAGGAUCUCCAUUGGGAUUUUUAAAUGUCCCAAAUUCUAUCCUUAAUGUGUCGGAUCAGGAUUCGAGGAACCCUACUAACCUUAGUUUCAACUCCAUCUUACUUUCUUUUAUAAUAACAUAUUCAUGAGUUCUGGUAUGUUGUAAUUAACGAUGUAUAAGUUUUUGUUUUUAGAUUAUCCUAUCUUUAUAUUGAUGUUAAAUAAUGAAUUGCAGCGGUUUUUUAUAUUGCAAGCUAUCAACCUAUGCCUCGAGAACAACAAUUGACUACUUGCAUUUUAAAAUUAUACUGAUAAAUAUAUAAUGUCUUCUGUUUUUCCCCCUCUUUUCGAAUUACGAAAAUGUAUAAUGUAAGUAAAAGCAUAUUCUUAUACAUAUAUGUGAGUGUGUCAUGGUAGUAACAUAUAUUGGAAAAAAAUUGGAAAAAUUAAGAAGUUUUCUAAUUAACGGCCAAACACCUAAUUAGGGGUUACAGUGAGCCUUAUCCUUGAAGAUGAAGAGUAAUGUUAGUUACACAUACGAUAACAUAUAUAUGUCAUUUAGAUUGGUCUCUUUGUUUAAUCCAUGUCAUGUGGAAAGAUAGUGUAGACCCACUCGCAAAGGCCAAUCCUUUUACCUAGCCCUUGUCAUAUGGUAAGGUAGGUCGGUCAUUUCCAUAAGGUAGCGUGACCCUACUUGUAAAUGCCAUAUAGAGGCUCAAUGGUCUAAUUAAUACUCAAAACUAGCUUAAGAAUUGAGAAUUAUCCCAAUCGUAUGUUAUUAGCCCAAUAAUUAUUUAAAGCUAAUGUGCCAAGGCACCUAAAGGCUUUUGUAUAAAUUCAGUGAAUUCCUAAAUAAAAUAUGAUAAUAUCAUGAGCUUUUAGCAUAAAAUCUUCAUUUUGACCCCUGCACAUUUUCUCACAAUUUUUAAACUUUGAAGAAAAUUAUCGUUUAAAUUAUAUGGCUCCCUAACAUUAAUUUUGAUAGCAAAUUACAGCUUUACAAUUAUUAAUUUCUUAUUAAAAAUUUUCUUUCUCUCUCCUUAUUUAGAAACAAGUGAACUCACCUUUUAAACUCUAUAAUCAGUUUUGAAAGUUUUAUGUUAUAAUAUGGCCCCUGCAGAACUUGAGCUCCACCCUUGCGGCUGGUAUUACUUUAAAAUACAAUCAACCAUAUAAAAAACGUUCGUACUUUUGUUAAGAGAAUUUGCAAACAUACAACAAUAAAUUUAUCAUGAUUUUAUUAACUGAAUAAAGAGUACAAUAAACAAUUGGCUAAUUAGAAUUUCAUGAAGGCAGGAAUAGAUAAUUCCUCCGUUGAAAUAUAAAACAAUUAAGAAUAAUUGAAAGAAAUUCUUGGGCAACUGAUUAUCAGUUGACAAGAUUGCAAACUCUUCGAAUUUGUCCGGCAGUGCCAGUUAGAGGACUGAUAUCUGCCAUCUUGAUCAUAGCAGCUGCAAAAUCAGACUUAAAUUUUGAACGAUUUUUGCUAUAUUCAUCAACAAUGGAGUCAGUGGAUCCGCCACUAAAGAGAACUUGGUCUGAUGCAAGAAGUCCUUUCUUCUGAACGAGAUUCUUAAAGUAAUUGUUAUCAAAAGAAUCGGGUGUCACCAAAUCAAGUGGUGAUAGGUUGCUGUCACCACCACUAGCCGGACACUCACGUCUUCGAGUGCUUGCAAAUCCGGCGUCAAUAUCGCUUUGAUUGCUAUAAAUCCUAUCACGGAAAAAUGCACAUUGCGCUUGGCCGAUUGUAUGAGCUCCUGAAUUUCAAACGAAGCAAUUAAUUAAUAUCAAUAUGAUUAUUUAGUAAUAAUUAAAUAAGAAAUGUUAUUUUAUAUAUAUUAUGAUAUAUUAUUUUAUAUACACAUAAUGAGAUGAAGAUAUAUAUACAGAGAGAGAGAGGUACCUGAAAGGGCAACCAAGUCUCUUGCGCUAAAGCCCUUGGUAGCGAAGGUGGAAAUAAGUCUGUCCAAUCCAUCUGUAAAGCUAGGGAGAUUUUCAGCUAAGCUUCUGCUUGCAGUUGUUGAGUCUCUUCUACCAAGCUUAACUGUCCAUGAUGGUCCACCAACCUGUAAUUAAAAUUUUCAAAUUAAUUAAUUAACCGAAAGUAACGAUGAAUUAUAUAUUAAGAUUAAUAAUACCGAACUGCAUCGGCUUAUCACUAUUUCUAUUAGCACUAUGUCUCUUAUAGUAAUUUUCUUAUAGAAAAUUAAUGAUGAUUUACUCACAGCAAAAGAAGCAUCACGGGCUGCAACAGCAACGAUAUCAGCGCAUGAAACAACUCCUGGGCAAACACUCUCCAGUUGAGACUUGACGCUGUCUAUAACUUCGAAUCCUCUAACUGAUUUAAAAUUUGGAAGUGCAUUUUUCUCGCUGUCAAUGGAGGAGGAAUCGUCCAACAAAAUGGACGCGUCACAACCUUGAACGAAGCAAUCAUGAAAAUGGAGGCGAAGGAGGGACGCCGCCAUCCUACGCUCUCCUGAAACAGCAUUUCUAAUGCCUGUUCGGAUUGUUUUGAGGGCACGAGGGCAUGUGGCAUCAUAGAAUGUUGGUGAGAGUUGUGCUCCACAUUUUGUAGUGAUGAUCAACAACAAUAUGGAGACAAAUAUUAUUUGAGAAAGGGAAGCCAUAUUAUUAGGCUGCUCCGAUGUAUUAAUUUUUGCAUGGGAAAUAAAUUUGUGCCUUAACAAUAUUCUGUUCAUAUGUUUUCUCGUUAAGUAUUCAACUUGGAAACCUAUGAAAAUCAAUAAUGACAGGGAUACAGCUAAUAAUUAAUUAGUUGUAAUUGCUCAAUUUAAAUAAAAAUAUUAAUGCUGACGUUAGUACAGGCGUAUCGUAUAAUUUACAAGAUGUUGCGCUCAACUUAUUUAAUCUGUUAAUUUUAUCUAUACUUUAGUCAGCUUAAUUAAUGCUGAAAGAUUGGGAGUCCAGUGCGAAUUAUUAGAUCAACAAACCAAAAGACGUUAAUAACAAACGCUUGUAUGUCAACCUAAUAACUAAAGUUGGAAGUAAACAUCAAUUUCGAGGUCAACUAUAACAUUUUUGUCUCCAUCUUAAUCUCUGUGAAUAAUUUAUUUUGUCAUGAAGUUUUUUGUUACCAUUUAACGUUUUUUUUUUUUUUUUGACAGAAGUUAAUAUUUAACGUUUAUGUAAGUUUUUAUGUUGGAUUAUAAUCACUUAGGUAUUAUGUUUGAGGAUGGAUCAGAAACCCCUAAAAUCACUAAAUUUUAGUGAAAUUUCAAAGUGAGCAUUUUGUAAUUAAAAAAAAAAAAAUUCAUGGGCAUGGUCGGAUUCAUCGAUCUUAUUUCAAAUUUAGUGCAUAUGUUUGUGUCAAUAUUGGCGCACAUACGAAGGAAUGGAAAUAUAUAUAUAUAUAUAUAUAUAUAUAUAUAUAUAUAUAUAUAUAUAUAUAUAUAAGUAUAAGUAAAAUGACAUAAAAAAUUUCGCUCUAUAUUAAAAUACACAUAUUUAAUAAUAAAAUAAUUUUCUACUUCCAGUUAAAAUGGUAAAAAUGAUAAAUUAAUAAAAUAAUUUUAUACUUCCAGUUAAAAUGAUGAAAGUGAUAAAUUAUUCUUUUACUUAAUUGGUAUUCAAAUAAUAUAAGUAUAAUUCUGAUACCAUAUAGAAGUUUAUGAGUCUAACUUAACCUAGAAGUCAACUCAAGAGUUAAGAGUUGCCCAAAACUUACGUACUUAUCUCAAGAUUCAUUCUUACCUGAUAUGGGAUACAUCAUCUUUUACUUAGUCUUUAUUACAUGCUAAGAUAGCGUAGGUCACUUUAUGAGUCGAACUAAUAUAAUAUAAAGGUGCAUAGAUCUAACUAAUACUCAAAAGCUAGUUUAUCAAGAAUUAAACAUUAUUUAAAUCUUCAAUUAUUAGUCUAAGGUCAAUUCUACGUGAAUAUGUGUGAUUGUUCCCUCAUUAUGUUUGUGAUAUUUCGUAAUAAGUUUAGAAGAUUUGAGAGCAAGGCAACAACCAACGCUUGUCAUCUCAGCAUGGAUUUUUCCCUAUCUUCGAGUUCAAGGAUGAAGCGAUGGGGUGUAAACGACUAGGCCACGAAGCUAAUAUUCUUGUUUACUCCCCGGUUAUCCACUUAUCGUUUAGAGUAAUUGGCAAUUGACUUUAUCUUAGCUUAGCUUACAACUAAAUCAGAUGCAAUCAUUAUACCUUAAAAAGAAUUUAAUUAACGUUUGACAUGGAUGAUCUUAUUCAAUCUGGACGUGGCAUAUGCACGCAAAUAAUACGCAGUCUUUUACUUUAGCAAAACAAAAUAAACUAAGAAAAAAAUAAAAGUCAAGAGACUCGGAAUUUUCUAAAGUACAUUGCCAACAACUUUUGGAAUUUUCUUCUUGUUUUAUGGGAAUACUUUUUUUUUUUUUUUUCCUAAGUCAAACUCAAAUAUAAUCAAAAGUGAAGCAGGUAAUAGGCUAGAAAGGAUCAACAUGCCAUCAGCUUUUGCUUCUACAAGGAUAAAUGUCCAUUAAGUUCCCAUAUGGUAGAUUAAAUGUUCAUUUAAUUUUUAUAUUGUGAAAAAUAUUUUAAAGUAUCCCUUCUAUUAAAUAUACGUUCUUAUUCUUAUUUUUUCUUUACUAUUAUAAUAAUAUCUUCAAACAAUCUUUUCAUUAUUUAUAUUAAUAUUGUUUACAAAAUUUACCAAAUUAAUAUAAAAUUAAUCUUAAAGGUAAAGUGAUAACCAAAAAUUUUACAGUAAUUUUUAUUUACUUUUAGGAUUAAUUUGAUAAAUUAAUUUUUUUUUUAUUAACGUCCCCAAGAUUAUUGCAAAAAUAUUUUAGCAAAAGUUGAGAAAAAAUAAGGGCAGAAGAGUAACAUAUUUAACAACAGAAGUGUUCAAAAUAUAAGGACUAAACUGACAUUAAUUCAAAAUGUAGAAACUAAAUUAGUAUUUGGCAUUAUUUAAUUUAAUACAGCUGUGUGGAAAAUUUUGCCCACAUCUACAAAUACUUUUUCAUCGGUCUCAAAGAUGAUUCCCAUGCACAUCAAGCAAUCAUGUCUCCACGCAAAUAGUUUAUUAAUUAAUUUGCUCUUAAGACAAGGACAUCAACAAGCAAAUAAUGAAGAUCAGCUGUAUUUCGAAGGCAGCUUGGAAUUACAGGUCUAGGUUCUUUGUUGUUAUUGCCCGCGAAUAGCCUCGCGCCUUCGUGGACCAAACCAAAUCUGUAAUACUACAUAGUCAGCUAUCUACAUAACACUAAAAAUAAUAUGGGAGCCUUGAGCUCUUCUUUGCACCAGACGGGUUCUAUUAUCAUUUUUAAUAUAGAAAAAAUAGAAAAUUUACAAUAAUAUAUUACUACUAAUGUAAAACAAAUGACUAUUAUUCAACUAAAACAUAAUAAAUAUAAAAUUAAGAUAAAAUCAAUGUUAUAAAUAUAAUCAUAUUUUUCAUAAUAAGCAAUAUCUUCAUAGUAUGCUUAUUUAUUAGUUUUUUAAUUAAAUAAUAUUCACUUUCAAUAAGUUAAUUGAUUUUUCAUGGUCUCAAGCCUAUUAACGCAUCGAGAGUUUACUAUAUGUGUUCAAAAUGUUAUCCGAUAUCGGUUUUGAAUAGUUAUAUAGAAGAUUAGGGCAAUCUUUAACUCUUAAACUAACUUUUAAGUAUGAGUUAGAUCCAUGAGCUUUCAUAUGGUAUUAUUGAGCGAGCUCACACUACUUUACCACAAAAAAUGACUAGGCAAAAUGGCCGGCCAACCUAAAUUACCACGUGAGAAAGACCAGGCAAAAGUACCAGCAUCAACGAGUAGGCCCAUACCACCUUUCCACAUGACAAGGACCAUAAAAGCUACUACCCAUAACAUUUCACCUUAAGGGGUAUUGCUUAAUAAGUCCCCCUGAUUACGUGUUUGACCUUUAUUUAAUAAAUUUCUCAAUUUUUCAGCUUUUUUUUUUUAAAAAAAAAAAAAGAGUUGCACCUCUAAAGUUAAGGGAAAUGGUCAUCAUACCCUUAAGUUUUUCAUAAACAACACCAAGAUUCCUUUUUAGUCAAAAUGUCCUUUGAAUAUUAAAACAAAAUAGAAUUCACAUCAAACUUUUUUAGUAAAUACAAAUAUAAUAUAAAUAAUUUAAUAUGUCUAGUAGACUAAUAAUAUUAAAAUAUUUUUUAAUAUUUAAAAUAAUUUUAAAAAUUUAAAUUAUUAUAGUUAUUUUAAUAAUAUAUUUAUACUUUUUAUAAAGUUUAGAAAUAAAUAUUUGGGUUAAAUAGAUUUUACAAUUACUAAAAUAUUUCUUAAGUAUUAAUUAUGUUAAAAGUAUUUUAUAUAAUAUUCGAAAUAAUGUAACUUUUUGUACAUUUAUUUUAAAAUUACGUUUCCAAUUAUUAUAAAAAAAAUUAAUAUCAUAUAUUUGUCUAAUAGAUUACAAAAUAUUGAAGUUAUUUUUUUUUCAAAUAUUCAAAUUAUUUUACAAUGUAUAUAUUAUUAUAUAUUUUAAAUUAUAUUUCUAUGUAUUAGAAAUAUUGGAGUCAGAUUUUUGGGUUAAUAGAGCCAAACGAUAUUGGUCAAAAGGAUAUCUUAUUGAAAACUUGUGGUUUGUGCGACCAUUUUCCCAAAACUAGGUGUUGUAACUGUCCUUUUCUCGAAAAAGAACGUGUUACCACACACUAUGUGUAUGUAGAUUAUGCUUUUACAUACAUUAUAAUCCAAAAAUAUAUAUAUUUAUUUAUCCAUCCAUAUUAAUGUAUAUGAAAGUAAUAAAUUAGUUAAAUCAUUUUAAUUGUUGUUUUGGAGGCACAAGUUGAUAGCAUUUAAUAUAAGAAACCGCGGCAAUUCAUUUCAAUUUUGAACUUUCCGUACUUGUUAUGUUUCAAGUCUCUGAGUACUACUCCACUUCACUUUUGAAUAUAAUUCGAGUUUGAGUUGCAAAAAAGUCUUCCCAUAAAACAUAAAGAAAAUUCCAAAAGUUGUUAUUAAUAUUUUUAAUUGACCUCUUUGAAGAAUUGAGGUGGUAGGAACAUCUUCAUGUCAUUUUUAAGACUAAGGUCUAGUUUCAGUGGUAAAGAGCAAUCUUCUUUUGCUAGGUUCGAGCCUCAUUAGUUUGCAUGCAUUAAAUCAUUAAAAAAAAUAGUGACAUUUUUAGAGAGUGUGAUAUUUUCUCAAUCUGUUAAUUAUUUUAGGUAUUUAGUGUAAAAGGAUAAUUAAUCAUGAUUACGUCUUAUUUUUAGAUAUCCAAUGGUAAUUUUAUACUAGCGCACAGGUCAAGUUCAUUUGAAAAUAUGUAUGAAGAUUUCAUUAUAUUUAUAUUCUUUAUUGGCUUAGUGGAGUGGUUUUUAAAUAAUUUUAUUUUUAAGCAUGCCAUUACUCAACAUAAAUAUAAAGAUAUGAUAAUCCAAAAUAAAAAUUUAUACAUGUUAACAGUAACAUACUAGAAUUCAGGAAAAUACGUAGGGAUGACAAAUAUCCAAUUGUGGAUGGAUAUUAACCAUCCAAGUACAAAUCCAUACUUAUCCAUGAUAGAUAUAUCCAUAUCCAUAUCCCUCAUUUAAUGCUGGACAUGGAUAUGGAUUUUAUCCAUAUGGAUACGGAUAUCCAUGGAUAUUUAAUUUUUAUUACACAUAAAAUAAGACAAAAAAAUGAAAUAAAAAUAAUAAUAUGAAAUAAUUAAACCAAUAUCAGAUACUAAUGUCAAAUAAAAAAUAAUAAACAUCUCAAAUAACAAAUAUCAAAACUAUAAAUUCAUAAAAAAAAUUAUAAUACAAAAUACAACUUAAUUUCAAACUAAAUACAAAAAAGUUCAUUCUUCUAACAAGCCUUGUACAACUUAUAAGCUUUCAAUCUCUAGCUUGACCAUCAUCAUUAAUCUGCAAAUUAAAACAAAGAAUUAAACAAGUUAAAUAAUUUGUAUUAUUUAUGACCAUAAUAAUUCAUAAUUGAGCAUCAAACUGAGCAUCAAGCACGAACUAAAAAAAGAAAAAAGUGAGAAAAAGACUGCUUUUAUGGACCAUGGAACAUCUUAAAAGGUCUAAAAAGUGAUGGAAACGAACAAACUAAUGGGCACAUGGGGAGAAGAGAAAUUGUUUCCAUUUUGGUUGGCUUCAAGUCAAGUUGAACACAUUCUUACAAUUGAAAAAUUCAAGGUGAGACAUUGUGAGAGCUGCCGAUAAAGAAGAGAAGCGAGGAGAGAGAAGAAAAAAUAAAAACUAAUAAUGAAGACCCUACAAGUUAACAGAGCAAAUAAACAUAGGAAAACAGGGCAAAUAUUUACCAUUAUACAUAUAUUUUUUUUCCCAGAAACAAAUGUUGUGAAUUUUUUUUUUAAAGAAGAAGCAUUGUCUGCUAUUGCUAUCGAUCAAAGGCAAUGAAUCAAACAAAAUUCGAGAAGUGCAAGUGAAGAAAAAGAGAGAGAUUUGAGUUACAUACACAGAUGUCAAAAGAGAGAGAGAUCUGAGUUGCAGGUUUGCCUCCACUUGUUCUUUUUCUUUAGUGAUAGAGAGAAAAGAGAAGAGAAGAGGAGACGAGCAGCGAGCGAUGAGUGACGAAUGACAAGCAGCGAGCGAUGAGCGAUGAAUGACGAGCAGCCGACGAGCGAUAAGCGUCGGCGAGUGAAGAGCGACUGGUGAUAAUCUAAGGGCUUGCUAAAUAGAUAAUCUAUGACAUUCGUUUUUAUUUUUUUCAUUUUAGUUUUACAAUAUAAUUUUUUUUAACUUAAAAUUGGCUAAAUGAAUUGGAUUUUAGAUAAUCAUCAAAUAUCCAUAUCCAUUCAAUAUCUAAUUGGAUAAUUUUAAAAAUAUCCAUAUUCAUAUAAAAAAAGAUUUUGGAUGGAUAUUAUUCAGUCCAAUUGAAUUGGAUAUUUGGAUGGAUCAAUUUGCCAUCCUUAAAAAUACUAUUAUAAAAAACAAUAAGGUGGAGUAGAAAGAGAUGCUUAAUUCCUAGCAUGUCAACUCUAAAACCGCAUUUGUUUACGCUACCAAAACCAUCAUAGUCAAAUAAAUUAAUCUCUUUUAGAAUGUCAACUCUUGAAGCUUUUGACUUUUAUAUAUACAUCAUCGUUUCUCAAGUACGGAUGUUAAAUGCGAAUUUGAAUUCGUGUGUAUUCAUAUUAAUACCAUAUGUCUUUAUUUAUUUAUUUAUUUGUAACACCAAUUGAUGUUAAUGUGAAUCUAUACGGAAUCCAUAUUUAAGCAUCCGUAUUAGAGAAUUUCUAAUAUAGAUACACAUAGAGAGAAUCAUUCUCAAGUCUGAAAAUCUCGAAUUUCAUAACAAUUUGACAACGUUGUGAAUAUACUUUCACAACGUUGUCAAACAAUUUACAAAUUUGAGAAAGUCUAUUCACACAGUUAUUAUCAUUAUAUAUGCAUGAAGCCGCCAAAAUGGACCAAAACUAAAACGAGUAUCAAUGUCAAAGAGAAGAUUAUCCGGCACGAUAAAUACAAUGCGACGAUUGAGCUUCUUCUUCAUCAUCUUUCAAUACUCAAGAUAACAAUCCAUUUAUUCAUUAGCUAAUAUGGCUUCUCUUUCUCAAACAAAUUUUACGUAUACAAUUAUUGCCUUCAUAUUGUUGUUGAUCAUCUCUACACAAUCUGGAGCACAAGUCUCACCAACAUUCUAUGAUGCCACAUGCCCUAAUGCUCUCAAUACCAUCCGAACAGGCAUUAGAAAUGCUGUUUCACGAGAGGGUAGGAUGGCGGCAUCCUUCAUUCGCCUCCAUUUCCAUGAUUGAUUCGUUCAAGGUUGUGACGCGUCCAUUUUGUUGGAUGAUUCCUCCUCCAUUGACAGCGAGAAAAAUGCACUUCCAAAUUUUAAAUCAGCUAGAGGAUUCGAAGCUAUAGACAGUGUCAAGUCUCAACUGGAGAGUGUUUGCCCUGGAGUUCUUUCAUCAUUAAUUUUCUAUAAGUUUAAUAAAAUAAGAGACAUGGUCCUAACAGAAAUAGCGAUAAGCCGAUGCCGUUCUGUAUUAUUAAUCUUAAUAUAUAAUUCAUUGUUAGUUUUGGUUAGUUAAUUAAUUUGAAAAUAUUAAUUACAGGUUGGUGGACCAUCCUGACAGUUAAGCUUGGUAGAAGAGACUCAACAACUGCAAGCAGAAGCUUAGCUGAAAACCUCCCUAGCUUUACAGAUGGAUUGGACAAACUCAUUUCCACCUUCGCUACGAAAGGCUUGAAUGCAAAAUACUCGGUUGCCCUUUCAAGUACCUCCCUCUCUCUCUCUCGGUUGGCCAAGCACAAUGUGCAUUUUUCCGUGAAAGGAUUUAUAACAAUCAAAACAAUAUUGAUGCUGGAUUUGCAAGCACUCGAAGCCGUCAGUUUAGUAAUUUAGGAUUUUGAGGAUAAUUUGGUAAAUUAUGGUGUCGAGGGCAUUUUGGUAGUUUAUGGAUGUAGGGGUGUUUGGUAAUUUUACGCAUACAGGAAUAGAUGAUUUGUGGAAAAUGUUCGUUUCGAGCUUUAUUGCAUAAAGUUAGUCGUAUUUCAUGUUACGGAUAAUAAUUAUGUCAUUUCCUUGAUUUAGGGGGAACUGCGAACGAGGACCAAUCCGCGAAUGUAGCUGAUACUUGAGUUUGAACGUAAUCAUUGUGAGCGGAAUAUACAAAAAUCCAUAUUUAUAGUUUAUUAUGAUAGUAAAACUUGAUUAUGAAAUAAGGAUUUUAAAUACUCAGAUUUAAUGAUUUUCUCGGGAUGGAUUUCACUUACGUAUUGAUAUGUUAUUAAAAAGUGUUUGGUUAAUGGUUUUCCGUAUCGAUUUUGAAUAACGCAUGAUUGUAUUUUAAAGGUAAGGAAAGUGGAUUUGAAUGUGUUAAUAAAAAGAAAAAUAUGAUUUAAAGUAUGGUUAAAAGGUAUAUGAAUAUGAGUAUAAUGAUUGUUUUUUAAAAUCAUUAGACACUACCAUUCCCCUCCAGAUAUAAUAAUACAUAUGAGAUGAAAGACCUUUGGGGCUCGUCUGGGUACACAAAGAGGUUUUGGGCCGUGUACUUGGGCGCCUUGUCCUUUAGGGACCAGAUUAUACAUGCACAAAUAUGAUGAGAUAUAUGAGAUAAUACUUUCCCAUCUAUCCGUGUAGCUCCAGGGCAUGACGAUACUUAGAUAGUAUGUCAUUGCCUGUCUGUUGAGGUCCGGAUAUGAGAUAUGAUGAGAUAUAUGAGAUGAUACUUCCAUGUCUAUCCGUGUAGCUCUAGGGCAUGAUGAUACUUAGAUAGUACGUCAUUGCAUGUCCGUUGAGGUCUGGGUAUGAAAUAUGAGACAUUUGAGAUGACAUUUCCCUAUCUAUCCGUUGCAGCUCUAAAGAAUUAUGGUUUCCUGAUUGCCCGUCCAUCGAGGUCCGGAUAUGACGAGAUUAUUCACCUGGGUACGUGUUUAGUGAUUUUUUUGAUAUUCAGUAUUUGCUAUUAUGAUUAUUAUGAUUUCCUUGAUUUUAUGUUGUAUUAUGUAUUAUUGUUAUAUUAGUACUUGAUUUAAAUUAAAUAAGUUUAUUAAAGUGCUUAUGAUAUUUUGAUGAAAUUUUUUAGAGAAAUAUUAAAUUAUUUUAAAUAAGUUUAUUUUCAAAAACUAUUAUUCAUUCACUGAGUUUUAUACUCACCCUUCUUUUAUUAUAUUCCCCCCCUCUACCCACAGGAGAUUUGCAGGUACAUCAGUCGACCCAGCAACAAUAACUAUUUUUGAAAUUAUGGUCACGUGAUGGUGUUAGGAGUCGUAGAUAUUUUUAUUGGGAUAUUUCAGAUUGUAAAAUUUUGUUGUAAUUUUUGAUAACUUAUUGUAUUUGGACAUUAGAAUGUUUGGGUGAUAUUUGGUAUGUUGAUUAAGAAAGUUGUUGAGGAAGUUGAUUGAAUAUUAAACUAUUUUUGGGAGUAUUAAUUUUAUAAAUUGCAUGUUUGGGAAUUUCAUAAUUGUAGAGGAAACUCUGCAAAAUCUUUAGUAGAAUUCUUAGAUAUUAGUUUUAUUAUUAAUUAGGUUAGAUGAGAUUAGAUAGACUCAUCCUGGGGAUUCGGGGCGGGUUGUUUCAAGUUGGUAUCAGAGCAUAGUUUUAGAAUAUGUGGACUUCACUGUUGUGAUUAGAGUAACUCACCAUCAUGAUUCAUCGUAGCAGUAGGCGUGGCCGUAGCCGUACUACACUAGUAGCUGGGUUGACUCCAGGAGAUGUACCUGCGGGGGAAAAUGCUCUUAUUAACGAGGGAGUAGUUGAGUCUUCAACGCAUGAGGUUGCACAGCAGGCACCGAAAAAUGCUCCAGACAUUAAGUAGUCAAUUGAUAAGCUAGCUUAAAUUAUGACUAUAGUGGUAUAGAACCAGACUCAUGUGCAUGCUAGUCAUGCAAAUACUAUUGAGCGUGUGAGAAGUCUAGGGGCAAAGAGCUUUAAUGAUUUAGGAGAUCCACCUGAGGCAAAAUUGUGGUUUGUCAUGUUAGAAUGAUUUUUGAUGUGAUGAGAAGCUCAGAGGAGGAUAGACUUUCCUUUGCCACUUUUCUACUUGAGGAUAGAGCUUAUCAUUGAUGGUAAAUAGUAGAGCAUCGAUAUCGAGGACAUGCUAGGAUUAUAUGGGCUAUUUUUCGUAAUAAAUUUUAUGACCAUUAUUUCCCAAUGGUAUACCAAGAUAUUAAGCGGAGUGAAUUUCUUCGAUUGGUUCAGGGAUAUAUGUCAGUAGAGGAGUACGAGAAGAAAUUUAUGAAUCUUUCUAGAUUUGCUACUACAAUAGUUGGUGAUGAGAGGGAGAGAUGCAAACAUUUUAAGGAGGGUCUUCAAUUUAAGAUUCGUACGACCGUAACGGCAUUACAGUACAUUGAGUUUGUUGAGGUAGUUGAAGCGGUCAAGAGAGUAAUGCAUAGUAUCUUAGAGGGACGCAAAGUUUAGGCUUUGAAACAGAAACGUAGCCAGAGUUAGAGAGAGGGUGGCUCGAGUAGUAGGCUCACAUGCAAAUUAUUCCACUAGCAUCCACAAGAGUCAAAGUACAAGCUUCAGAGGAGAUCAGAGAUAGCCCGUCAGUCACAAUUCGGUACAGUCGUUAGUGGGAAGUAAUGUUAGGGCACUGGGACCGUAUGACAGAAAUAACGGAGGACACCGUGGUGAUCAUUCUAUGAGUAUAUAGCAGACUUCUUGCCCUUCAUGUGGUAGGAACCAUAAGGGUCAGUGCUGUGUUAGAGACAAGGUGUGUUAUUUAUAUGGACAACCUGGACAUAUUAGGAGAUUUUGCCCCACUUUGUCUCAGGUUGAUGCUUCUACACAAGGGACAGCCUCACAGUUUCAGCCUCACUCUAAACAGACUCAUGGUCAGAGAGCCGUACAGCCAGGGGGUUCUUCCUCUUCUACGCCAGGUUAGAGAGGUCAAUUUAGUCGACCUCAGACUCAGGCUUGAGUCUUUGCUUUGACACAACAUGAGGCUCAUGCUACACCAGAAGUUAUCAUGGGUACACUAUCUAUCUUUAGCCGCGAGGCUCAUGUUCUUAUUGAUCUUGGAUCCACGCAUUCUUUUGUUUCCCAUACUUUUACCAUGCAUGUAGAGCGAGAGUCUGAACCACUGUAUUAUGAUCUAGCUGUUAGUACAUCCACUGGGGGGUCACUAUUUAUCGAUAGUGUGUAUCGUGAUUGUGUAAUUAAAUUGUGUGAGCAUGAAUUUGGGACGAAUUUGAUUAUUUUAGACAUUUGAGAUUUCGAUGGCGUUUUGGGCAUGGUCUGGCUUGCAUCUCACCAUGCUACUGUAAAUUGUUUCAAAAUGGAAGUUGUGUUUGAAAAGCCAAGGAAAACUGAGGUGAAAUUUUAUGGGGAGCGCAAAGUUUUACCCUCAUGUGUCAUAUCGGUAUUGAUGCUAGACGAUUGCUAAAAAAAGGAUGCGCCGCAUAUUUAGCACAUGUAAUAAACACAGAAGCUAGAGGGUUGAAAGCGGAGGAUAUUCCAGUAGUCUAGGAGUUUCCAGAUGCUUCAGAAAUAGGAAAUGACAACACUAAUAAGCAAAUUGAAUUCAAAUCAAAACUAAAGUUAUUUUGGCAUCGAUAUUUAUAAACAAGCAAUUCUCCGGUAACGACACCAAUAACUUAUUGUGUGAAAAUGUAACGCAAGUGCACGUAUCAUUAACAAGUAAUAAAAUGAUAAGUAGAGUAUGGUUCCCACGAGGAUUGUUGUAUUAAUUACCGAAAUUAAUUCUAACUCUAAUUUAAUUUGAAUAAAUCGAAACAAGAGUUGGAAUUUAAAUAAAACUAAAACUAAAGUAACACAAAUGCCCUUAAUGAUACCAAAGAGGUUUUGAUUAAGAAAUAAUCAAUAAUUUAAGACUCUAGGGUUUUCAAUUCACCAAGAUUAAUCCCAAAGAAAAUUCUCAAUUUCAAUCAAUUGUUAUUCUUUCCUACUUUGACAAUAGAUUUCUUUAAAGUAAUUGUAACCUUUCUUAAGCGUUAACAAUAUACUCCAAUGAGCAAACUUUCUAUAUCUCUAUGGAAGUUAUAACUCAUUGAAAUUAAUCAUGUUCAAGAAAUAGUCAUGACUGCACAAGGUUCAUAGAUAUCUCUAUCCUAUGAUAAUCUCAUGGCAUUGCAAUAAAAUGGCUUAUUCAAUUCUUACUUCUCAGUCUAAAAUCAAAUGCCAAGUUAUGCAAUUGUUGAUCAAGCAAUCACAAGAAUUAAACAUAUAUUGCAAUACUCAAUACAAUAUGAAUGAAUAAAUCUCAAGUUGAUUGAAAUAAAUGAAAAUUCACAUAUUUAUAGUCUAGAAUGAAAAGUCUAGUUCAUGAUAAAUAGAAAAGAAAUCCUAACAACUGUCUUAAACAUGAUGAUAGGGUUAAGAAAUAGUAUAAGUUAGAUGAUUCAAUCCUUUCGUCUUCGUAUUUGCAUUUAAUCACGCCACUUUCAUCCCUUUUCUUCUUUAUUUUUGUCCUUUCUCUUUGAAAAUCUUGAAGUCAAAAGUCCCCUUUAACUUACGUUUCUUUCUUUUUAUACUUCUCAAUAUUGGGUAAAUUACAUGGUAGAACAUCAAUCUGACACCAUGGUGCUGAAGAUCCUGGCCCCACGAUGCCAAAUUUCUGCUAGAAUUUUGAGGCCAAGGCAAUGCCAUGGUGCUAAAAGUGUCUCUUGCAUGAAUUUUGACUCUUUUUAUGCUCAGUUACACUCAUUCCACCAUAUGGCCUGAAUAUACCUAUGUCUGCAAAUAACACACAAAACACAUCAAAAGCAACAAGAUUACUCUUAGACUAACAAAUCAUCAAGUCUUAAGAAGUCAAUAAGAUAGUAUAAAACCAACUUAUCAUGCAAACACAGAGAAAGAGAUAGAUACCUAAAAGGGCAACCAACUCUGCGGUACUCAAGCCUCUGGUAGCAAAGGUGAAAAUAAGUUUGUCCAAGCCAUCUGUAAAUCUAGGGAGGUUUUAAUCUAAGCUUCUGCUUGCAGUUGUGGAGUCUCUUUUACCAAGCUUAAUUGUCUAUCAUAGUCCGCCAACUUGCAACGUUUUUAAAUUAAUUAAUUAAUUAACAAAACCAACAAUGAAUUAAGAUUAAUAAUAAUAAUGCAGAAUAUCAUUUGCUUAUCAAUAGUUAUUUCUGUUAACACUAUAUCCUUAUUGUAUUGAUCUUAUAGAAAAUUAAUGAUGAUCUAUCACAGCAAAAGAAGCAUCAUGAUAAGCCAAGAGAUUGGUCAUGCGUGGGGCAUGCAAAGCUAUUAUUGUGGCAAAGACUUUGGGAUGUUGUUGAGUGCGGUUUGUUGACUACGUGUCCACUAGCUUGUUAGCUUAAAAUUAGGUUGAGUAGUGAUUAUUUUAUUUUGAAUAAUCUUUGGCUAUUUUGUUGCCAUUAACUAGCGGUUAAUAUUCUAUUUCUUAGGGAUAUUAUCUAGGAAUUAGGAAUAGUUGUUAAUUUCUUUUGUAUUUAAAUUCUUUGAUAGUCAUUGUUGGUUAAUUUUUAACUCAAUUGCUAUUGAUGUCAAUGUGCAAGUGGACACAACAAGUAAUAAAGUGAUCAAUAUUCGAGAUCGUCUCCACAGGGAUUGAUGUUACUAGAAAAGCUACAACAAUCACGAUAGUGCAAACUUCCUUUGUUCCAAAAAGAUUCUAAUUAAAAGUGAAUUACUACCGAAAUAAACAAUAAAAGAAAAAAAAUAAAACAAAUCAAUGCAGUAAUAAAACAAAUUAAAUGAAUUGUGUAAGAAGAAUUCAAUGGGAAUGAGGUAGCUGAAUGAUCAAACUCUCUUCAUGGACUGACUGUUUUGUCUAAAUUAACACCAAUUGCUACAACAAUUCCUACAGCACUGGGCAGAAUUAUUUUGUAUCCUCAGCUGUCGCUUGUCAGAUUUCUCAUACCCUUAAGCACCCUAAUAAUGACCAGUUGUUAACCCACCUACGGUAUGGCAUUAUGAGCAUACACUCUCUCUACCCUACAAGGUGAAUUCCUAUGUCUAGUUCUUCACAAAUCUUAACUCAAGUAUAUAGCCCUUUUGGGACUCAAGUAAUCUCAGUCCAGGAAACUUAAAUUAAGAUCAAGUAUUACUUUAACAAUUUCCACUAAGACAUGCCUUUUUACGGCUCUAUCUUAACUUGAACCAUUAAAUGGGUGGUCAACCGAAAUAAUGAUUAUAAUAAUAGCUAUUAGAGUAAAAUGCUACAACAAUCUCGCAGCAACUCAUAAGAACAGUCAAAUACUAAUUUAGAUUGUUUGUCACUCAACUACAAUCAAAUUUAGUUCAUACUUUGAAAAAGAAAAACAAAUAGCAAAAUAUCAGCCAUGAAAUACAUCGGUUCAAUCAAAGAGUAAGUAAAGGAACAAGUAAAGAACGAUGAAAAUUGAAUCCACAAUAGUUUUGCUGGUUUAUCUUCACUGGUGCAGACUUGCUUUCCCGUGAAUUCUGAUUUUGUUCUCAUUUUCCCUUUGAUUUCUCCAAUGUUAAUUUGCCCCCCUUUUCAUAUGAUGCGUGCCUUUUUUAUAUCUGAAAACUAGGGUAAACAGAAGCCUAGGGCACGCAUAAGUCAAAUUAGGAAACUGCAGAUAUCGAUUUUGCAUAUUUCCCGCGCUAAAUUUUCUCUGUCGUUGUUCCAGGAUUGCUUCAGCAAUGGCUGCUCCAACAAUGGCUACAACACCACAUUGUUCCAGAUUUUGUUUCAAUUCUUAUGUAGUCAUGUUCUUCCUCAUUUUUGCGAGCCUAUUGCAACAGCAUUCCUUCCGUGAAAAAUAAGCUUCUGGACACCUACAAUUAAGCACACAAUUUGAGCAUGAAUUACUCUAAAUCAAGCAAAAUUUACUAAGACUAAAUUGAAAUGAAUGUUUAUGCAAAAUAUAACAAAACUACAAUGAAAAUACAUCAUUUACUCUCUAAGUAUUAUUAAUUUAAGUCUAAAAGUGCCACGAUAACUCUCAUUUCAUAGAGUUAUCAGUCAUUAAUUAAGGGAGCUUAAUCCAAUUAAAAUUAUUGUGGUCUCUUCUCACCCUAAGAGAAUACUAUCGUUACUAUACAAUUUACGGCUUUGAUUGGGACCUAUCAAUUGGUAUCAGAACCACAUUAUCCAUGGCAACUAACAAAGAGAGAAUCGAGCUCUCGGAAGCUGGACUUGGCAGUUUGCAGGAUGGCAUGAACCGAAUGGAGCUUGGAAUAAAUGACAGGCUAUACCACUUGGAAGAAACACUCAACAAGUUAACGGAAACAAUUAUGGCAUCCAAAGGAGCAGCAAUUCAAAUCGCCCAUCAUCAAAGUGGCUCAUCACGCCCAAAUUGUGAGGAGAAUGAAGGGGGGCGACAAAAUUUUUUAUUUAAGAUGGCAAAACUUGAAUUUCCACGGUAUUCUGGCGACGACCCAACUGAAUGGUUUAAUCGUGUUAAUCAAUUUUUUUGAAUUUCAGGGUAUCAACAAUGAGCAGAAAGUAUCUCUAGCCUCAUUCCACCUUGAAGGCAAGGCUAAUCAAUGGUGGCAAUGGUUGCGGAGAUCAUAUAAAGAAAAGGGUAAGGAGGUGACAUGGGAAAUUUUUCAUGAUGAACUGUGGGCAAGAUUUGGUCCUACUAAUUGUGAGGAUUUUGAUGAAGCAUUGUCAAAAGUUGAACAAGUGGGCUCCUUACGUGAUUAUCAAAAGGAAUUUGAGCGGUUGGGAAAUCGGGUACAAGGUUGGACACAAAAGGCUUUAGAAGGGACAUUCAUGGGAGGACUCAAACCUGAAUUAGCUAAGGACAUUAGAAUGUUCAGGCCGAAAUCAUUGAAAGAAGCUAUUAGCCUUGCCCGGAUAAGAGAUGAGCAGUUAAUGCGCCAAAGGGAAUCCACAAGACUCUUCAACUGAACAGUUGUUGAUUUCUCUUCAUCAAAAAAAUUCAAACCAACAACACCUAUAAAAAGGCUCACUUGGGACGAGAUGCAGAGAAGAAGGGCUCCGGGGCUAUGCUUUAAUUGUGAGGAGAAAUUCACAACUGGUCAUAGGUGUACGAGUCCACAACUACUACUCUUGGAGGGACGUAAUGGGAAUUCAGACGAGGUUUAUGAAUGUGAACCUUGAGGACAAGGUUCCGUCAAAGGAGGGGGCAAUGAUAAGCCAAGAGAUUGGUCAUGUGUGGGGCAUGCAAAGCUAUUAUUGUGGCAAAGACUUUGGGAUGUUGUUGAGUGCGGUUUGUUGACUACGUGUCCACUAGCUUGUUAGCUUAAAAUUAGGUUGAGUAGUGAUUAUUUUAUUUUGAAUAAUCUUUAGCUAUUUUGUUGCCAUUAACUAGCGGUUAAUGUUCUAUUUCUCAGGGAUAUUACCUAGGAAUUAGGAAUAAUUGUUAAUUUCUUUUGUAUUUAAAUUCUUUGAUAGUCAUUAAUUAGGGGAGCUUAAUCCAAUAAAAAUUAUUGUGAUCUUUUCUCACCCUAAGAGAAUACUAUCAUUGCCAUAUAAUUUACGGCUUUGACUGGGACCUAUCACAUCACGGGCUACAAGAGUAACGAUAAAAAUGUAUGAAACAACACUAGGACAAACACUCUCUGGUUAGGACUUGACAUUAUCUAUAACUUCGAAUCCUUUAGCUGAUUUAAAAUUUAGAAGUGCGUUUUUCUUGCUGUCAAUGGAAAAGGAAUCGUCAAAUAGAAUGGACACAUCACAACUUGGAACAAAGCAAUUAUGAAAAUGGAGGCGAAUGAGGGAUACCACCAUCCCGCACUAUCGUUAAACAACAUUUCUAAUGCCUGUGCAAACCGUAUUGAGGGCAUUAAGGCAUGUGGCAUCGUAGAUUGCUGCAUGCUGUGUUUAGAGCAAAUCAAAUAUUUUCUUAGAUCCAUUAAUGCAUGGGAAAGAUUUGUGCCUUUAUAUUCUGUUCAUAUAUUUCCUUGUUAACUAUUCAACUUGGAAAUCAUUGAAAAUCGUUAGAGAUCGGAUAAUAGCUAAUUUUGAUUGCCCAAUUUCUAAUAAUAUUAUUAAUGUUAAACAUAGACCUUAAUAUUUUUAAAGAAGAAAAGAAAGAAGUGAAUAUUUUAUGAAUUUAUUUGUUAAUGCAGCUCGUAAGCUAGCAGUCUACUCUAUUUAUGUAUGAAUUAAAUAAAAAUGUCAGAGUGUGGGUGUGCUAAUUAAUUAGAGAUUAAUUCGGAGCACCCUAUUGGCGUAUUUUAUUAGUGGUCCACAUGGCACAUUAUUGAAUGGGUUAUAAUCGGGGUUUAAAUAAUAAAAUAAAUAAUGGACUGAAAUCCUAUUGGUCAACUGGAAAAAUUAAACUGACUAUUUUGAUGGAAAGUGGGGAAUAAAGGUUUUAUUAAAAUUGAUCCUCUCUCUAGCCAAAAGAGAUAUCACGUUAAUUUUUUCUCAAUUAGAAAGUGAGUCACUCUAAAAGGAUCAAUAGAGAGAAAUCAAUUUUACUAACCUUUAUUCUUCUAGUGAAAUGUGAUCAAGAAAAUUGCUAUGGAUCAAGGUAUGUCUUCUCUCAAUUAUGGUGAUGUGAAAAUCAUGAUAUUCUAUAAUCUUAGGAAUUGAAGUUUAUGCAAAUUCGGAUUUACUUAGUUUAUGAGAAUUGUAAAAAAAAAAAAAAAUCCCAACAAUUGAAGUCUGAGCUUAGUUGAGAAUUCAUGAUUUUUCUAUUAAAGUUUAAAAUAAACAAAUACUUCCUCAGUUUCAAUCAUGCUUACAGAUUUCUAUUAAUUCUACCAUGAACCGAUUCCUUGACUUUACGAAUCAUUAAUUGUUUGAGAGAUUGGAUUUUAUUUUUAAUUCGAUAGUAGUUAGAUUAGUUUCGAAAGAAUUUAUUGUAAUGUACAAUAGUUUUCUGGCUGACUUGUUAAGUUGUCAAUGGGAACGAAACGACGAUGCUGAGAUAAUCUGCGUAAUACUGUAGUUGCAUGUGAUUGUGAUGAUCAAAAUUUUGUAUAUUGAUAAUUGAUUAAUGUGUUUGUGUAAUUAUGGAUCAAAAGAAUUGUCAAUGGCCAUCACAUGAUGUCUUCAAGCUGAAAUUAAGGAGUAAUUGCAUGUGCAACUUCAGUUUAGUCCCUGAUAUUCUAUUUUAUUAAGUUAUAGAUAUGGUUGAUUAAGUUUAGAACGAUAAAACUACUAACUUUAUAUGCAUCAAGCCUUAUAAGUUUUGUUCUCAUAAUUUCAAUGCUUUUGCUCAUUAACUAAUGAUUUUUGAAAUUUCGUAAUGUAACAAUUUUAAUGUUUGAAAUUUCAAUUGAUGUCUGUAGCUUCACUUAUUUUAUUAAGGAAAUUUGUUAUAGUUGUUCAAUUUGAAACUCAAAUUAUGUUUAUUUGUUAGUCACCAAAGUGGGCAAACUAAAAUGCUAUAUAGUUAUCAAAUUGAAUAAUUUUCAAACUACCCAUUAUUUGAUGCUUAUAAAUGAUUGACUAAUUUAUACAUAAUGUUAAUAAUAAAUGGGUGUUGAAUUUCAUAGUUAUAAAAUAUUUUAGAAUCACCCAAAGGUUGAUUUUUUAUUUUUUUAACCUAUGAAUGUUAUUGUGGUCAAUUAAUAUGCUGAAUUUGAUAUUUUUAGUAUAUUUGAAGAUGACUGACAAGUCUAGUUAAAGUGUAUAUAAUUGUCAAUUAUGUGUUGUUAAAUUGGGCAUCAAUUAUGUUCUUUUGUGUAUUGUUGUAUCGCCCAAAGGUGAAUUUCAAUAUGUACUAAAAGUUUAUGUGAAUUUUAUCUAAAUUUGUACUAUGUGUUUAAGUUUAAAGCAUUAAUGUGUGAGCAUUUAUGUAUAUUUGCAGCAUAUGUCCUUGUUACUCUUCAUUUACAAUCUUAUCUGUUGUUACAUUCAAUUGCCUUAAUUAUCCAGAUUGCUCUGAGCAGAUCCAGUUUCACUUAAAUGUUCUAGAUCUUGACUUGACACUAUUAACUGAAAGACCAGUUGCCAUUGCUCAAGAAAACAAUAUGGAAGAGAGAUCUUUCUAUAGGGCUUGGGAUAGAUCAAAUAGAUUGAGCCUGAUGUUUAUACGAAUGACAGUAGCUAACAACAUCAAAUCCACAAUUCCAAGAACUGAAAGUGCCAAGGAGUAUAAGGAAUUUGUAAAAGAGCAUUUUGAGCCUGAAUCAGCUGAUAAGUCACAUGUCAGGGCAUUAAUAGUUAUAUUGACCACCUGUAAGUUUAACGGUACAUGUACCACGCAUCAACAUGUGACUGAGAUGAUAAACACAGCAGCAAAGUUGAGGUCUGUGGGGAUGGAAGUGAAUGAGAGCUUCCUUGUGCAAUUCAUUAUCAACUCAUUACCCUCUGAAUAUUGUCCAUUUCAAAUAAACUAUAACAUUAUAGAAGAUAAAUAGAGUACCAAUGAACUCCAGGUCAUGCUUAUUUAAGAAGAUGCAAGAUUUAAAAAAUAAGGAAAUCACUCAGUUAACCUCAUGGGUCAUAAAGGAGCUUAAAAGAAGUCUAAAAGAAAAAAUUACCACAAAAGGAAACAAAAAAGCAUCAAAGCUAAGAGUGCAACACACCCAAGUCCAAAAAAUGGCAUCAAGAAUGAAAAGUGUCAUUUCUGCAAUAACUGUGGACAUUUUGCUAAAGAUUGCCUUAAGCGUAAAGCUUGGUUAGUAUAUUCCAAAUCAAAUUUAGCUGAAUUUUCUUAUAACACGUGGUGGUUUGAUUCUGGUUGCACUACUCAUAUUUUCAAUACAAUAUAGAGAUUCCUUACAAUCUAAACUAUAAACCCAAAUAAGAAAUUUAUCUUUAUGGAGGACAGAGUUAAAGCUCCAGUUGAAGGCAUUGGAACUUACCUUUUGAUUUUAGACACUGGACAUCAUUUAGGUUUUUUUCAGACCUUUAUAUUCCUUUUGUUUGCCUCAAUUUAAUUUCCUUGUGUAGACUUGAUUUUGUUGGAUAUUCUUUUACAUUUAGGAAUGGUUCUUUCAGUUUAACAAGACAUAAUAAUGUUAUUGGUUCUGGAAUUCUUUUUUAUGGUCUUACAAAUUAAAGCUUGAUAAUGUUUUUGCUAAAUCUCUAUUAACUUGCAUCAUAAUGUUGGCACUAUAUGUGGUUUAGUGAAUGAAAUUUUAGCUUACUUGUGGCAUAAACAUUUGGGUCAUCUAUCCAAAUAAAGAAUAUGGAUUUUACUGAUAUUGAUAUUUGUAUGGAUUGUAUUAAAUAAAAAAAAUACAUAAAUAAAAAAAGAGCCACAAAAAGUACACAGUUUCUUGAGAUUAUACACACUGAUAUAUAUGAACUUUAUAACAUUUCAUCUUUUGGUGGAGAAAAGUAAAAUCCAUAUCCUUCCAUAUAUGGAUUUUACUAAUAUUGAUAUUUGAAUGGAUUGUAUUAAGGGAAAACAAAAAAAAAAUACACAAGUAAGAAAAAAGCUGCAAGAAGUACACAUUUUAUUGAGAUUAUACACACUGAUAUAUCUGGACUUUAUAACAUUCCAUUUUUUGGUGGAGAAAAGCAUUUCAUCACCUUUAUUAAUGAUUUUUACGUUCUGAUUAUACCUAUUUGUUGCAUGAAAAAUCUCAAUCAAUGGAUGCCCUAAAGGUAUUUAUCAAUGAGGUUGAAAGGCAACUGAAUAGAAAGGUGAAAACUGCCAAGUCUGACAGAAGUGGUGAAUAUUAUAGACGAUAUAUUGAUAAUGGACAAUGCCCUAGUAUAUUUGCUAAGUUCCUUGAAAGAUAUGGCAUAUAUGCUUAAUACACAAUGCCCUAGUAUAUUUGCUAAGUUCCUUGAAAGAUAUGGCAUAUAUGCUUAAUACACAAUGCCAGAUGCACUAAAACAUAAUGGUGUAGCAGAAAGGCAUAACCGUACGUUAACAACUUUGGUUAGAAGUACAUUAAGUUUCUCAUCUUUACCUUUAGCGCUGUAAAUGAAAGCGUAAAAAACUGCUGCUUAUUUGUUAAAUAAGGUUCCUAGUAAGGCAGUUCCAAAGACUCUUUCUAAACUAUGAAUAUGAAGGAAACCCAAUUUAAGAACCUACAUCAAGUAGAAGCAAAGAUUUAUAAUCCAUAUGAAAAGAAAUUGGAUUCAAGAAUAACUAGUGGAUAUUUCAUUGGUUAUCCAAAAAAGUAUAAAGGAUACAUAUUUUAUUGUCCUAACUAUAGUACAAGAAUUAUUGAAUUUGAAAAUGGUAGGUUUAUUAAAAAUGGUGAAAUUAAUGGCAGUAUGAAGGAUAAAGAUCCUCUCCUGAUCUAAGCUCUCAUGAGCUUUUAACGAUCUUGUGUCAUGUGUCUUUACGUGAUAGUGUAUGUGUAGGAUUUAACUUCUUCAUUUUCUUUAUUUAUUAACUACCAAUCACCCACAUGUAUUUUUGCUCAGAAAGAGAUCAGAUCAUGAAAGAAUCCUAAUUCGAGUAUGAAACCAUGAAAAAUGGAAAUCCAAGAAGUUUGAGUGCAAGUUCUUUUACUAGUGACUUCUCCUAAAGUUGUUGUUCUUAUAGUUGUUGAACACAUUAACAAUGUUGUGCAAAUUUUAAUGUACUCGCAAGCGCACGAAUCUAUUGUAGUGUAGAUCAAUGGUGACGAGUGUCGAUCCCACGAGGAGGUGGAUUUUAAUUAUGUGUAGAAUUAAUUUUGCAAAAUGAGUGGUUGGAUUUAUGGUGGAAAUGAUUUGGAAUAUGCUAAAACUUAAAUUAAAAUGGCGAGAAUAAAUUCUAAAAUUGGAAUUGCAAUGGAGAGAAUAAGUUGAAGCGAAAUCUAUUGAAAUGACGUACUUGGGUAUCUGGAUCCGUAUCAACAUGCAUCAUGGGCUAAAUAAUCCGUAUUAAUGCCAAUUAAAUCAUGAGGGGGGAAUCCACACCUCAUGAACCACGCUCUAAUCAAUAUGGUGCUAAGGGCUUAUCGUGCCAAAUAAUAAUAACCUUAUACUAGAGAGCCGGUGUAACCAAGGCGGUAUCUAGACAAGAUCAGUAUUAUUUGUCGACGAUAAGUCAAAUCAUCCACAAAAACUAGAGGGGAAAAGAAAAUAAAUUUACCAAUAAAGCCCAUGACACAUGUUGAGACUUCACCUUCAACCCAAGCUUGAAAGGAAAUUAGCCACUCAUAAUUGAACUAAGGGUAAAAUGGGAAUUUAUUAAAAUACAAAGAAAAUACAAGAUGGAGAAGGAAUCACAGAAAAUGGAUCCCAAAAAUGGAUUCAGAGAUAUCAAAUUAGGGGGGGAGGCCCCCUUUUUAUAGAUACAUGGAGUAAAUCAUGGCCAUCGGAUUAAAAACAGUUUGGACGCUCAGGAUUGCGCCACGUCAUCAGUCAACAGUCCACGGUUUGACCACGCGGAUGAACAGUAACACGGUUUGACCCGGAUGAACAGUAACGCGGUUUGGUUGAAAAUAAUCCUGUGUGAUGCAUGCACCGUACGCGAGAUUUUUCAUCCACUGAUAUGCUGCCACGUCACCAUCAACAGUACAUAAUAAUUUUAGUCCAACAGGAUCGUGACACCUCAUCAGUCAAUGCCACAUCAUCGGUCAAUGCCACGUCAUCGAUCCGUCUAUGUGAACAGUGUCGUGAACAGUAACGUAGACAGUACCGUAUACGUGAAUAGUACCGUACAUGUGAAUAGUGCCAUUUUUCCUUUUAUGCUCCUCCUAAGGUUUUCGACCGUCCUGAGUUCAAAAGUGAUGUCCGUUUUGCCGUCUGAUCUCUCCUUUAUUGUGAAAUGACUAUAAUGCCCCUAAAAUACAUAAAAUACUUAAUUAAAAUAACACACACGUAAUUAAAUCACAAGAAUGUUAAAUACAUAAAAGUAAGGGUUGUUAGUAAGACUUGAAAUGUAAAAUGACGGUUUUCUCCUUUAUAAAUAUGCAUUUUCUAACACUCAACACACCCCCCAACCAGCUUAUUGCUAGUCCCUAGCAAAUAAAGCGAAAACAAAAUUCAAAUUCAAAAUGAUUUUUUUUUUUUUUUUAAACACUCGUAUUUAUUCAAUCAGAUUAAUGAUAGCAAUCAAAUAAAAGUAUAAGCAUUAUCUCCAGUCUAAAGAAAUAUCACACCCACAUCAACCAUCCACAUGAAUUAGCCCAGUAGACUUUGUUAUAGCUACUUUCAAGAAUGACAUGUCAAACCCCAAAAUCUCACUGGAAGUAGUGACACUCUCACAAAGAAAUUAAAACCCAAUAAACAUAGUCACUCCAAUGAAUGGUAAUUGAGAGAGAAAAUGAUAAAGAAAUGAUAUCACAUGCUCUCACCAAGAUGAAAUAAAUAUGCCCUCAGCUUAAAAAUAAUACGAUCUCAAGUCAAAUAAAAUGUUAGUCAACCCACUUUAUUUAUCUUUUUUUUUUUAUUAUUAUUAUGCAUCACUACAUCUUUUUAGCCCAUAUAACUAGCUUCUACUUCAAACUAUAGUUCCCUAAAAUCAAGAAGGACUUUUAUUAGGACGUAACGUAGGUUAGGGAUAUGGCUAACAAUGAAAGGAAAUAAGGAAAACAAAGUAUAUGUUUGAGAAAAAUGCAGAAAUUUUUUUUUUUUUUUUUUUUUGGAAGUUGCAAGGUGGAUUUCACCUAUUAUUGUUAUUUUUAUUCUUUUGAAACAACAACUUUUGUUUUUGUUUUUUUUUUUUUUUCUUUUUGCUUUUAUUUGGCAUAACUUCACUGAACAACAUAAUUAUUUACAUUUUCUCAAACAUAAAUAGGUGAUGAAACUUAAAAGAAAUUGGGUAAUACUCCAAAUCGGAGUGGGUCAAGAUGAUAAGUUGACAAAGAAAAGGUUUUUGUUCUUUUUUUUUUUUUUUUUUUUUUUUAAAGGCUCAAAAGGGGUAACUAUGGAUAUUUAAUAAAAAGAAUGGCUAGAAAGGCUCAAACGGAUCAAAGAUGACCUUUCCAUCGUCUUUUAGGGCUCUAAAUAAUCUUCCAUAUCUACUAGUUAGAUGGGCCUCCAAAUGUAGCAACACACAUUUUUUUUUUAAUUUUACAAAUAUAUAUAUAUUUUUUUAAGGGUUAACUCAAAAUAAAUCUAGAGAUCGUGUAUACAAUAAUAAACUGUUAAGCUGUAUAAAGAAUGGGCAAAAGGGGUACUCUCCAAGAAAAAUGAUAGGCUCAAAAACUCACUUGGUACUUAUUUAUGACAUGUUCAUUCCUUCAAGCAACUCAUAUUUGUCUCCGACAUCAACAUGUAAAGUAGCAAACAUAGCGUAACAUCACUUAAGACCAAAGAUAAUACAAAUACUAAAAUUUGAAAUUAAUCAUGUCAUCCAAUGUUAAAACAAAUAACACAAUUUUUUUUUUUUUUAAACAACAUUCUACCCCCAACCUAUUCUAAACAUGAAAGGAAAAUAUGCAUGCAGAAAUGUGAAAAUGAUGUAGAAAAAAUUAAUUAGAAAAAGAAAUUUUUUUUUUUUUUUUAACUAAGAAGAUGCGUUUCUAGAGGCACUACACUCCAUAUUCAGCCAUCUUCGACUCAAAAAUUUGAAACUACAUAUUUAUAAAGGAGAAAGAGGAAGAAAACGAGUUUUUUUUUUUUUUUUUUUUUUUAAACGAUGAAGAUGCGUUUCUAGAGUAACUACACUCCAUAUUCAGCCAUCUUCAACACAAAACGUUAGCAACAGUUAGUUUCUACAACAAAAAAUCAGUAAAAACUUAACCAAGAUUCCACAAUUGUCGACUAUUCCCUCCCCCCAACCAGAACGAAACAUUGUCCUCAAUGUUUUAAAGGAAAGAAGUAGAGUUUAGAAGACAUCACCUGGGUGGUGCAACACAGAAGAAAAUAUUUACAGGCGGAGAGUUAAAUCUAAUUUGUACUUCUUACUGCGGCUACUGUUACCAUCAUUAUUUGGUCGCUCCAACACAAAGGUCCAGGGGUCUGGUUCCGGUUUAUAAGCUUGUAACAUAUCAAGUAGCUCAUUAGCAGUGUGAGCACAAAGAAAGAGUUUUUUCACAUUAGAAGGAAUGAAAUAGUUUUUUAUUGCAUGGUUAAGAAAUGCGAUAAAGCCAUCAUAAAAGUUAUUGACAUUUAACAAACCGAUGGGUUUCUGGUGGAUGUGCAGAUGGGCCCAAGAUGCUAGUGUCAUAAGUGCCUCUAGUGUUGCAAGAUCUCCUGGAAGGAAAAUAAAAGCAUCAGCAUGAUUAAGCAUUUCAGUUAUUCUUUCUUGCAUACCUGAGACGACUAACUCUUCUCCAGUUGAUGAGUCAGACGAACUGCCUAAUGGUUUUAGGACUCUUGGGAUGAUGCCUAACACUUGACUUCCUCUGAUAAAAGCUGCUUCUGAGACCAUUUUUGAUAACCCUCGGUUACCUCCUCCAUACACCAAGUGUAAUUUUCUCGCUGCUACGCUUCGACCAAGAUCUAUGGCUGCCUCCACGAACUCUUUAUGUUUGCCAUAUGUAAAUCCAGAAAGCACACAAAUGUUCUUGAAUUGUCUAUUGGGAGUAGCUGCCAUUGUGAUACUUCUCAAAAACAAUUUGUGAGUGCUUGACAAAAGAUAAAUCACAUUUAAGAAUCUUGGUGACAGUGGAUCACAGCUGUGAAUGAGGUAACAUGUCAGUGUCAAAUAACGCGUAAAGCACGUGGCUCGCGAGUAAAAAAGGAAACAGUAAAAAGGACAAAGCAAACAGUAAUAAAAUUAUUAAAGGCAAUAAUGCAAACGAUAAAACAAUAGUGAAAUAAAAUAACAGAAAGUAAAAGGAUAUUUACACGUAGUUGCGACUGUGGCUCACAUCUUCCUCUGGUUUUACGUCCAGAAACGGCUUGAACGCCCUCUAUGGGUCGAGGAUCGGCUUCCCAUCCAGUUUUCUUAUAAACUGACAAACAGGGUCGUUUAUAGUCAGAUUCCCGAGACUAUAUCGUGCAUGCUCUUUCUGGAAUAAUGGCCAUAACCGGAGAAUCGCUCCUUGCACAUAUCCACUGGGAUGCGUUUCAAGAGACAGAAGGAUAUCAUCCAAUGACUCCUUAUUCAAGCCAUCCCUAAUGAAUUGAAUCUUAUCUUCCCUGUUAUCAGACACCAUUCCUAAAGAACAUGGGUUUCUAUCGCAACUCAUUCUGGCACACUUGUGACAAGCAACAGAAAUUCUUCGAGCUCGUCGUUUUCUUGCGUAAUUUCCUUUACCACAACCAGGCAUGUAUGCAAUAAAUUUAGGAGGUGACUCACCUGCCAAUCGUACUUUAGCCUCGAUUAACCAACGGAUGUCUGCAGGUAUGUUAUUCCUCAUGAGCAAUCGCAUGCGUUCAGACCGGGAUUUAUAGAUUGUAAGGAGGGCAUUCUGAGGAAGUGAAGGGAAUCGCUUGUGAAGCUUCGCUAGAAUCUCGUUUCUGUCCAUACUUUCGCCUCAGAAUGUCAGUUAUUAUGGGAAACUAAAGUAACCGACUUGAUUGUCACGGAGUACCGUUAUCCGCCACUUCACCGGGGUAACAAACUAAAGCACACAAACAGAAAAACAAAUUAAAACGCACAAAGAAAAUUAAAAUCGUCCUCUUAUUGAAUUUACCUCAAGCUCCAACUGGAUGUCGUAAACACUUCUCUCAAUGUCUCUGAGUUGGCGUUCUAAACCCUCAACAUAGGCUACUAACUCUGGUGGUUGUAGAGCCCAAAUGCGUUGUGUUUUACAAAAUUGAAUUUGCCGUUUGAGAUGAGUUUUGACACGUUGAAGUGGUUUAAGAAUGUUCAGGAGGAACGGUCUAAGUAAGGUACUCAUGAUUAAAAAUGAUAAGAGAAAACUUAAUAGUUAGACAAACACACUUAUGCAAAAAUAAUUUCAAUUAGCAAAAGAAUAAUAAAAAGAAAGAAAGAAAAAUCAAAUCAACGAAAAGAAAAAAACAAAUCAAUUCAAAUCUGGUGGGUCACUCAAAUUUAUUUCGGUGUCUUCUCCAUGUGGUUGGUACUCAAGAUAUGGCUUUAAUCUUUGACCAUUAACUUUAAACGUGACACCAUUCUUUGGGUCCUUAAUUUCAAUUGCCCCAUGUGGAAAAACAGUAUUAACAAUAAAUGGACCAGACCAUCGAGAGCGUAACUUACCUGGGAAUAGGUGCAAACGAGAAUUGAAUAAAAGCACUUUCUGACCUGGAGUGAACGAUUUUCUCAUAAUGUGCUUGUCAUGAAAGACUUUCAUUCGUUGCUUGUAAAUCUUGGCAUUUUCGUAUGCAUCAUUACGAAUUUCUUCAAGUUCUGCCAGUUGUAAUCUUCUUUCUGAGCUGGCUUGCUGCAUGUCAAAGUUGAAUUUCUUGAUGGCCCAAUAUGCACGAUGCUCGAGUUCCACAGGUAGGUGGCAAGCUUUUCCAUACACUAGCCUGUAGGGUGACAUCCCAAUCGGGGUCUUGAAAGCCGUUCUAUAUGCCCAUAAUGUAUCAUCAAGUCUUAAUGACCAAUCUUUUCUGUCUGGCCUCACUGUUUUUUCUAAUAUGUGCUUUAUUUCUCGAUUGGAGAUCUCAACUUGGCCACUGGUUUGCGGAUGAUACGGGGUUGCCACUUUGUGUGUGAUUGAAUACUUUGUCAAAAGAGCUUUGAAUGCUUUGUUACAAAAGUGGGCACCACCAUCACUGAUUAUUGCUCGAGGGAAUCCAAAGCGCGAGACAAUGUUGCUUUUCAAAAAUCCUAUCACCACCUUGUGAUCAUUAGUUCUGCAUGGAAUUGCUUCCACCCAUUUCGAUACGUAGUCAACACCAACCAAUAUGUAUUGAUGGCCAAAAGAAGAGGGAAAGGGUCCCAUGAAGUCGAUACCCCAUACGUCAAAAAUCUCAACCACUAAAAUUGGAUUUAGUGGCAUCAUGUUCCUUCGCGUAAUGCUCCCCAUUCGUUGACACCUAUCACAUGAAGAACAGAAAGUGUAAGCGUCUCGAAAUAUAGUUGGCCAAUAGAAACCACAUUGUAAAACUUUAGUCGCCGUUUUCUUAGCACUGAAAUGGCCUCCACAAGCUUGUUCAUGGCAGAAUGAAAGAAUAUUCUGAAUUUCAUUUUCAGGGACACAUCGUCUAACAAUUUGGUCUGCACAAUACUUGAACAAAUACGGGUCAUCCCAAAAGAAAUUCUUUAUUUCUGCAAAGAAUUUAGCCUUGUCUUGCUUGGUCCAAUGCUCUGGAAGUUUACCUGUAACAAGAUAAGUAACUAUAUCAGCAUACCAAGGUAAUACUUCCACACUCAUUAAUUGUUCAUCUGGGAAUGACUCAUUCAAUAUUAAUGGCUCUGUUAUUGUGUCAAAAUGGAGACGAGAGAGGUGGUCCGCCACAACAUUUUCUGUCCCUUUCUUAUCUUUGAAUUCCAAGUCAAAUUCCUGCAAAAGUAACACCCAACGAAUUAGUCUAGCUUUUGCAUCUUUCUUUGUGAGAAGAUAUUUAAGAGCAGCAUGAUCUGUUAAUAUAAUUAUUUUACAACCAAUGAGAUAAGAUCGAAAUUUUUCUAAUGCAAACACUACUGCUAGCAUUUCUUUUUCAGUAGUUGAAUAAUUCAACUGUGCAUCAUUCAAUGUCAUACUAGCAUAGUAAAUAACGUGAGGAAUUCGAUCAACUCUUUGUCCUAAUACUGGUCCUACUGCAUAAUCAGAUGCAUCACACAUGAGCUCAAAUGGUAAGCUCCAGUUUGGGGCCUGAAUGAUGGGUGAUGAUGUCAACAAUUGCUUUAAUUUUUCAAAAGCCAUAAGACAUGAAUCAUUAAAGAUAAAAGGUACAUCCUUAGCAAGUAAAUUGCAUAAGGGUCUAGAAACUUUGCUAAAAUCUUUAAUGAAACGUCUAUAGAAACCAGCAUGCCCAAGGAAAGAUCUUACUUCUCUGACUGUUUUAGGUGGAGGAAGAUUAGAAAUGAGAUCCACCUUGGCUUUGUCAACCUCAAUACCUUUGCUCGAAAUGAUGUGACCGAGAACAAUACCUUGUUUUACCAUAAAAUGGCACUUCUCCCAAUUCAAGACUAAGUUCUUCUCGGUACAUCUCUGCAGAACUAGCGUUAGAUGAUGUAAACAUUGAUCAAAUGAGUCACCAAAGACAGAAAAAUCAUCCAUAAAGACUUCAAGGAAUCGUUCAACCAUAUCAGAAAAAAUGCUCAACAUGCAUCGUUGAAAUGUAGCAGGUGCAUUACAUAAUCCAAAUGGCAUUCUCCUAUAUGCAAAUGUGCCAAAAGGGCAAGUGAAAGUGGUCUUCUCUUGAUCUUUUGGUGCUAUGGGAAUCUGAUUAUAUCCUGAGUAGCCAUCUAGAAAGCAAUAAAAUUCAUGGCCUGCUAAUCUAUCAAGCAUUUGAUCAAUAAAUGGUAAAGGAAAAUGGUCUUUACGUGUGACAGAAUUCAACUUUCUAUAAUCAAUGCAUACACGCCAUUCUGUAGUUACUCUAGUUGGUAUCAAUUCAUUAUCAGCAUUGGUAACUACUGUGACUCCUGACUUUUUGGGGACAACUUGUACAGGACUGACCCAUGAACUAUCAGAAAUUGGGUAAAUGAUACCUGCAUCUAAUAGCUUAAGGACUUCAGUUCUAACAACUUCUUUCAUGUUAGGAUUUAACCGACGUUGCAUUUCCCUAGUAGAUUUAGCAUUUUCAUCAAGGUGAAUGUAAUGCAUGCAGUCUACUGGAUUUAUACCUUUUAUGUCCGCUAUGGUCCAUCCUAAUGCUCCUUUGUGCUCUUUUAAAACAUCCAACAACUUACCUUUUUGUUCGUCGUUUAGGGAUGAUGAGAUGAUUACCGGUAGAGUGCUUUCUUCUCCCAAAAACGCAUAUUCCAAUGUGUUGGGUAAUGGUUUGAGCUCGAGUUUCGGUGGUGAUUCUGAUGAUGGGAUGAGUUUCUUCUCUAAUGGUGCUAGUUGUUCAACUCUUGAUUUCCAUGUAUUAGUGUCCAUGGAUGGUGCUGAGUCAAGUAAGGCGUUGACCUCUUCGACCGAUCUGUCAAUAUCAAAAUCAAAACCAAAGUGAGUUAAGCAUGUCUGUAAGGGAUCAUCACUAAGGUUUGAAAUAAAAGUGUCAUCAACUAAUGCUUCAAUUAAAUCCACAUCAACAAUUCCAUCAUCUGCACUGUGAGGUUGUUUGGCAAUGUUGAAAAUAUUUAACUCCAUAGUCAUGUUGCCAAAGGACAACUGCAUAUUUCCAGUCCUGCAUUGAAUGUGAGCAUCCGCAGUCGCCAAGAAAGGUCGGCCUAGAAUAAUGGGGAUGUGCUUCCUUGAAUCCUGUAUUGGUUGAGUGUCAAUUACAAUGAAAUCAACAGAAAAAUAAAACUUGUCUACCUGGAUAAGCACGUCCUCCACAAUACCACGAGGUAUUUUCGUGGACCGAUCUGCAAGCUGUAACACCACUGGAGUUGGGUGUAAUUCUCCCAGUCCAAGUUUCACGAAUACUGAAUAAGGCAACAGAUUUACACUAGCUCCUAAAUCCAACAACGCAUUCUCAAUUGUGUGGUUCCCUAUACUACAUGAGAUAGUGGGGGAGCCUGGGUCUUUGCAUUUUAGAGGAAUUUUAUGUUGGAGUAUAGAACUAACAUUUUCUGUUAAAAAUGCCUUCUUUUGAACAUGCAUAUUUCUCUUUUUAGUACAAAGGUCUUUAAGAAACUUGGCAUAAGAUGGAACUUGUUUAAUAGCAUCAAGUAAAGGGAUGUUAACACUUACCUGUUUGAAGAUUUCGAGAAUCUCACCUGUGGAUUUUCCCUUUUUCCCUUUAGCUAACCUCUGAGGAAAUGGAGCUUUCGGAACGUAUUCUCGUGGGUUGGUUUCUUCUUUCUCCUCCGGUGAUGAGUCUUCAACAUUCACAGGUACAAUUUGAUUUUCUUUUGUCACCGGCAUCUCCACUUUGUUGUUGACUUCCUUGCCUUUUCGCAAGGUCAUGACUGCUUUGACCUCUCCAUGCUGUUGUGGUGAACUGGUACUUGCUUCAUGUACUCCUUUAGGAUUAGGCACUGGUUGACUUGGAAAUUUUCCUUUCUCAACAGUCAUUGCCAAGGUCUGAACUGAAGAAGCAAGUUGUCCCACCAUCUUCUCGAGGCUUGAAACUGAUUGAGCUUGUGAGUUGAAGCCUGCUCUCAACUCAUUUCGUAGUCCAUCAAUGGUGCGGUUCUGUUGCUCAAUCGUAGAGUGAGUAGCAUUCUUGAAAUUCUGGAAUGAAUCCUCCCAUGGUCUGGGUUGAGAGUAGUUUUGGUUUUGAUUGAAUGGUCUAAAUGGGGGCUGAGAGGCUUGAGGAAUUUGAGGAAUUGGUUGCAUUGGUGGAGCUGGAGCUGCUGGUCCAUUCUGUUGGAGUCCUUGAGACCAUGAAAAAUUAGGGUGGUCUCUCCAUCCAGGGUUAUAUGUGUUGGAGUAUGGGUUGUAAUUUGAUGGCUUUCUCAUUACACCUAUGGCAUUGGCUUGAUCUGGGUAUGAGUCAUGGUCAUGUGGCUCUAUUGAUUUAGCAGUCGAUAACGAUGCUAUUUGUCGAGAGAGACCUUCUAUUAUUGCUUUGACUUCUUUGAUUUCUGAAUUUGACUCGCCAAUUUGAACCUCAUUCACUCCUUUAACUCUUCUAGUAUUCCUGAGUGAUCGACUCCGUUGUUGGGAAUUGUCCGCUUGUCGCUGGAAAAACUCCCAAAUUUCUGAUGCACUUUUCGACAUUAGCUCUCCUCCACUUGUUGCCAUUAGCCAUUCUUGCACAUUCGGCAAUAAUCCUUCCAAAAAGUAUUGGCAUUGGUGCCAUUUCUCGUACCCAUGAUGUGGACACUUCAAGAGUAGCCCAUUGAAUCGCUCCCAAGUUUCGAAAAACUGCUCGUCCUCUCUUUGUGUAAACUCUGAAAUUUCCCUGCGAAUAGAAUUGGUUUUAUGCACUGGGAAAUAUUUAUUUAGAAAUUUUGUAACCAUUUGUUCCCAUGAUGCAAUGCUAUUAGCAGGCAAUGUAUUAAGCCAUGAACGAGCUCUAUCCUUUAAAGAAAAUGGGAAUAAUCUAAGUUUAACAUCAUCGUCUGAAAAAUUUUCAUAUUUAAAAGUUUGACAAAUGGCAUGACAAUCAUUCAGAUGAUUAUAUGGGUCCUCAUUUUCUAGGCCAUAGAAUGUGGGGAGACAAUUUAGCACACUAGGUUUUAAUUCAAAACUCCUAGCAGCUACAUUUGGGUAUCUUAUGCAUGAUGUGCUCAAAUUAGCUAAGGGACUAAAAUAGUCCUUAAAUGGCCUCUCCUGUGGUGCUUGUAAAUCCAUUUUAUUUUUAAAUUGUUUGUGUGUGCGAAGUGUUUUUUCUAAUUCAAGGUCUAUAGGUUCAAGAUUUGGUAAUAAUGACCUACGACCAUGCAUGCAAAACAAAUAAAAUAAAAAUAAAGAUGGGAACAAAACAAAUAAAAAUAAAGAAGAGGGAGAAAUUACGAUACUAACCUUAUUGCGCUAUUACAACCUUUCUAUAAAAAAUACACAAAAACAAAUACGUGAAAUAAAUUAACUAAAAAUUAAAUUAAUAAGAUAAACAAAAAUUACAAAGAAAAAUAAAUUAAAAAUUAAAUUACAGAAUUUUAAAGAAGAGAAAAAGAAAAGAAAUACUAACCUUUAAAUGUAGAUUUACUUUUUUUUUUUAAUAAAAAAUACAAGAAAACAAAUAAAAGAAAUUAUUCACAAAAAUUAAUUCUAUGAAUUAAAAUUACUUACCUCCCCGGCAACGGCGCCAAAAACUUGUUGUGCAAAUUUUAAUGUACUCGCAAGCGCACGAAUCUAUUGUAGUGUAGAUCAAUGGUGACGAGUGUCGAUCCCACGAGGAGGUGGAUUUUAAUUAUGUGUAGAAUUAAUUUUGCAAAAUGAGUGGUUGGAUUUAUGGUGGAAAUGAUUUGGAAUAUGCUAAAACUUAAAUUAAAAUGGCGAGAAUAAAUUCUAAAAUUGGAAUUGCAAUGGAGAGAAUAAGUUGAAGCGAAAUCUAUUGAAAUGACGUACUUGGGUAUCUGGAUCCGUAUCAACAUGCAUCAUGGGCUAAAUAAUCCGUAUUAAUGCCAAUUAAAUCAUGAGGGGGGAAUCCACACCUCAUGAACCACGCUCUAAUCAAUAUGGUGCUAAGGGCUUAUCGUGCCAAAUAAUAAUAACCUUAUACUAGAGAGCCGGUGUAACCAAGGCGGUAUCUAGACAAGAUCAGUAUUAUUUGUCGACGAUAAGUCAAAUCAUCCACAAAAACUAGAGGGGAAAAGAAAAUAAAUUUACCAAUAAAGCCCAUGACACAUGUUGAGACUUCACCUUCAACCCAAGCUUGAAAGGAAAUUAGCCACUCAUAAUUGAACUAAGGGUAAAAUGGGAAUUUAUUAAAAUACAAAGAAAAUACAAGAUGGAGAAGGAAUCACAGAAAAUGGAUCCCAAAAAUGGAUUCAGAGAUAUCAAAUUAGGGGGGGGAGGCUCCCUUUUUAUAGAUACAUGGAGUAAAUCAUGGCCAUCAGAUUAAAAACAGUUUGGACGCUCAGGAUUGCGCCACGUCAUCAGUCAACAGUCCACGGUUUGACCACGCGGAUGAACAGUAACACGGUUUGACCCGGAUGAACAGUAACACGGUUUGGUUGAAAAUAAUCCUGUGUGAUGCAUGCACCGUACGCGAGAUUUUUCGUCCACUGAUAUGCUGCCACGUCACCAUCAACAGUACAUAAUAAUUUUAGUCCAACAGGAUCGUGACACCUCAUCAGUCAAUGCCACAUCAUCGGUCAAUGCCACGUCAUCGAUCCGUCUAUGUGAACAGUGUCGUGAACAGUAACGUAGACAGUACCGUAUACGUGAAUAGUACCGUACAUGUGAAUAGUGCCAUUUUUCCUUUUAUGCUCCUCCUAAGGUUUUCGACCGUCCUGAGUUCAAAAGUGAUGUCCGUUUUGCCGUCUGAUCUCUCCUUUAUUGUGAAAUGACUAUAAUGCCCCUAAAAUACAUAAAAUACUUAAUUAAAAUAACACACACGUAAUUAAAUCACAAGAAUGUUAAAUACAUAAAAGUAAGGGUUGUUAGUAAGACUUGAAAUGUAAAAUGACGGUUUUCUCCUUUAUAAAUAUGCAUUUUCUAACACUCAACAAACAACUUUCAAGAAUAACAAACAAAUGAUCCAGUACCCCACAAUGAAGUUGUCGAUAAUGAACCUAUGACUCAAAUGGUAAUGUCGAAUGAUACAAGGCCAGACUAUUGCUAAAUGUUUUACUUAAAAGAACAGCGUUGACUUCAAAAAGACCUUUUCUAGCGUUGACUACAAAGAAAUGAGGACACCUUUAGAAUUAUUAUGGUACUGAUGGCUCAUUAUGUUUCAAAGUUAUUCAAAAUAGAUGUGAAAACUAUCUUUCUGAAUGGAAAUUUCGAGGAAGAUGUUUAUAUGGCCCAACCUAAAGGCUUUUCAGCUGAAGAAAAAGAACACCGCAUGUGCAAAUUAGAGAAAUCAAUAUACGGACUUGAGCAAGCCUCCUAACAGUGGUAUCUUAAGUUCAGUGAUACUAUCACUUUAUUUUGAUUUAAGGAAAACAUCAUUGGUCGAUGUAUAUUUUUGAAGGUUAGUAGGAGAAAGAUUAUCUUUCUUAUUUUGUAUGUUGAUGACAUUUUGCUUGCUCCUAAUGAUCUUGGUCUAAUCCAUGAGACCAAGGAGUUUCUGUCUAAGAACUUCAAAAUGAAAAAUAUGAGUAAAGCGUCCUAUAUGAUUGGAAUUGAAAUAUUCCAUGAUAAAGUAUAAGGACUGUUAAGGUUGUCUCAGAAAGCAUAUAUUAAUAAAGUUUUAGAGACGUUCGAAAUAAAAAAAAUGUUGUUUCAGUUUAGAAAGGGGAUAAGCUCAGCCCUAUGCAAUACCCAAAGAACGAAUUAGAAUGCAAAUAAAUUGAAAGGACUCCUUAUGCAUCCAUUGUUGGAAGCUUGAUGUCUGCUUAGACAUGCACCAGGCUAGACAUCAAUUUUAUUGUCGGGAUGCUAGGCAAAUAUCAAAGUAAUCCUGGAUUAGAUGAUGAGGAAAGUUGCAAAGAAAAUAUUGACUUGCAAUGAGUGAAGGAUACAUGCUCGUUUAUAGGAGAUUUGAUCAUCUAAAAGUGAUAAGAUACGCAGAUUCAGAUCAUGUUGGCUGAGUGGAUACCAGAAAAUCCACAUUUGGAUACUUGUUCAUGAUGCUGAAGGAGCCAUCUCAUGGAAAAAUGCAAAACAGACUGUCGUUAUUUACACUAUGGAAGCUGAGUUUGUGGUUUGCUUUGACGCCAUUGUUCAUGUGUUAUGGUUGCGAAACUUUAUUUCAGGGCUUAGAAUUGUCGAUAGUAUUACCAAGUGGCUAAAGAUUUAUUGUGAUAAUGUUGCAACAAUAUUCUUCUCUAAAAAUGAUAGGUAUUCAAAGGGUGUUAAAUAUAUAGAAUUAAAAUACCUUCCCAUUAAGAAGAAGUUCGGAAACAAAGAGUGUUAAUCGAGCACAUUAGAGCAUCGCCAAAAGAGUCUUCAAAUAAAAUUCUACUUCUUAUUUGAAGAGUCAUAUCAAUAUUAAACACUCCAAAAGACACAUUAAUUUAGAUUCUUCAAAUAAGAUUUGUUUCUCACUCUUCAAUAUUGCCGAGUGAGUUUCUCUCUCUUCUAUUAAUAUUUUAUUAUUCUUUAUUAGAAAGAUACAACAGCUAUAAUUAUUAUUUAACAACAAUUGAACGGCUUUUUUUUUCAGCCUAUUAAAUAUUAUUGAACCCAUACCAUUAUUCAGUUUUUCACUUGACUUCAUCAAAAUGGAUCAAUUUGAUCAUCCAUCAUUUUCUACACAAAUACCUAAUUCAUCUCAAUUCAUUGAAUCAUCUCUAUCUGCAACACUUAUCGGCUCCAUUUCACAAAAGAAACACGGUGAGGCUUUUUCAGCGGAUGAAAAUAUGCAUCUUGUUUCAUCAUGGUUGAAUAUUAGUUUGGAUGCUGUCCAAGGAACUGAUCAAACACACCAAAGCUUUUGGGCUCGAGUAUGGGGUUAUUUUCACAAAUACAAGAAUUUUGAAUCGGAACGGGAUGACAAAUCAUUGAUGCAGCAUUGGUCAAAGAUACAGCAAGCCACCAACAAAUUUCACGGCUGUUUUUCCCAAAUUGAAAAUAGACAACAAAGUGGCGUGAAUGAACAAGACAAGGUAUGUAUUUUAAUUAAUUAAAAAAAUCAAUUAGUUUUGUCAUUUUAUUUGUUUAUAAAUUAAAAUGAAUUAUUUCAGAUUAUGAAUGCAAAGGCUCUGUACAAGGAAAUGUUCAAAACAAAAUUUACUUUUGAACACUGUUGGAAUAUAUUGAGGCAUCAUCCAAAAUGGUUGACUGAUAACCAAGCAAAAAGAGAGAAGAAAAAGGGUUUAAUUUCAGCUUCAUCGCCUGGUAUAUCCUCAUCAUCAACUGCAAAGACUCCUAUUAAUCUUGAUGAAAAUGAUAAUGGUGACACCAAUUUUGUUGAUUUAGAAAGACCACUUGGAAAGAAAAGUGAGAAACGUAAGAUUAGAGAAAAAAAUUCUGAUCCUCUUGUGACAAUUUUAGAAGAAAUGCGUGCAGAAAAAAAAGAAGAACGAGCAAGAAAAGCAUAUAUGAAUGAGAAGAAGUAUCUUUUAGAAAAAGAAAUGGUGGAAAUAGAAAAACGAAAAGCCGACUUAGAGGAAUUGCAAGAAGAAGAGAAAAUAAUGCGAAUGGAAACAAGUGGAAUGCCUUCUCAUCUUCAAGAAUAUUAUUAUCAUCGUCAAAUGGAGAUCCUUGAAAAAAAAAAUAAAGAUUGAAUGUUUUGCUAUUCUAUUGUUUUAUUUUCCUUUAAAUUGUUGUAUGUUUUCAUGUAAUUUUAUAAUUAAUAUUAUAUAUUUAAUUUAUUAAGUUUUCGUAGAGCCAUGUUUUAAGCACAGCUACUGCAUGAUCUGGAAGUGCUCUUUGCGACCGCCAGUGAGGAGGCCAAAGAAAGCCUAAUUUUUGCACUGGGUUUUGGCUACUGCAACCUUGUUCCAUGGUGUCAUUGUUAGCAUUGUUAUCACUAACAGUCUUGCCUGAGACAUGAAUUUGGUCCAAUAUGGCAUUCUUCAAGCAACAAAAGUGUUUAGAUAUGGCCUUGAAUGCAAAAUAUAUGUAAGGGGCAGUGUGUCCAAGGCCGACAACAUUUUCAAAUGAUGCAACUACUGAUUGCAUUUGUUGGCAAUAUAGUUUGUAUUCAUAUCAGGAAAAACAGAGCACAUGAAUAGAAUUAUGAAAAUCCAAAAUAUAUUUAAGACAUAAUAAUAAUAAUGUCAUUUAAAAUCAUCAUAAAUUACUUAGAGAUAAAGACAAAUAUGAUAAUAAUUCAGCAUGUUAUCAAAUUACAUGGCCUUACGGGAUCCUUGAUGUUUCCACAAAUGUUCAAAGAGGUCUUUUUGAAGUUGAGAGUGAUUUUCUCUGCUUCUAAUUCGAUGAUGAUUUUGAAUAAAUUCCAUAAUUCCUAUUGUUCGUUCAAAUGAUAGUUUAACCCAAUCUUCAUUACUUACAUCAUCAUUUAAGUCCUCUAUAUCUUUAGGAAUAUGUUCAUCUUCUACAAUCAUAUUGUGCAUUAUAACACACGCCUUCAUGAUAUCGUGAAGUGUAUCAUGGUCCCAAAAGCGAGCAGGUCCACGCAUAAUCGCAAAACGAGCUUGGAGCACUCCGAAUGCUCUCUCAACAUCCUUUCUGGCUGAUUCUUGAGCUUUAGCAAAAUUCUUAUGCUUAUUUUCUUGUGGAUAUGGUAUUGUUUUCACUAGAGUUGACCAUGGUGGAUAUAUACCAUCUGCAAGAUAAUACCCCAUUGUAUAAUUAUGACCAUUGAUUGAGUAAUUUACUGAUGGAGCACAUCCUUCAGCUAAGUCUUUGAAUAAUGGAGAUCGAUCAAGCACGUUGAUGUCAUUGUGGGAUCCUGGUAACCCAAAAAACAUAUGCCAUAUCCAGAGAUCAUAUGAGGCCACUGCUUCUAAGAUUAUUGUUGGUUCUUGGGCAUGACCAACAUACAUCCAUUUCCAUGCCACUGGACAAUUUUUCCACUUCCAGUGCAUACAAUCAAGACUUCCCAACAUUCCUGGAAACCCACGUUGUUUACCUUCUGCUAAAAGUCUAGCAAUGUCAUUUGUGUUAGGAGAUCGUAAAUAUUCAUUGUUAAAAAUUUCAAUUACUGCACGAACAAACUUUUUCAAACUUUCGAUUGCAGUGCUUUCGCCAAUUCUCACAUACUCAUCAAUAGAAUCACCGGAUACUCCAUAAGCUAGCAUUCACAUUGCUGCACUGAUCUUUUGUAGUGAUGACAAACCGAGGACUCCAGCACAAUUUCUUUUCUGGACAAAAUAUGAAUCGUGCUGUUCCACUGAAUUUUUAAUACGCAGAAAUAGAGGGCGAUUCAUUUGAAACCUCCUUAGAAAUUUAUCUAGAGGAUAUGUGGAAGUUUCAGAAAAGUAAUCAUGAAAAAGCCUAUCAUGACCAGCUAAUCGAUCACGCCAAAUUGUUGCGUGACGUUUGAUGGAGGCACAACGCCCAGAUUUUUUAUGUCUUCUCUUUGCAAUGGCUACCGCUGCAAUCAUCUCAAUUUCAUCAUCAUCAGAUGACGAAUCUGACAGCAUCUUUAUCUUAAAGUUGCUAGCCAUGAAGGAAACACAAUGAGGAAAAAAAAUUAGUUAACAGGCAGAAGGUUGAACAAGUCCAUUCACAAAAGUCUAUUUCAUAAAGAGUUAAAAGUAUAAAGAGUUAAAAGUAUGAUGAAUCUGACAGCAUCUUUAUCUUAAAGUUGCUGGCCAUGAAGGAAAACAAUGGGAAAAAAAAAUAGUUAACUGGCAGAAGGUUGAGAAGUCCAUUCACAAAAAUCUAUUUCAUAAAGAGUUAAAAGUACUUUAAAAAAAUUAGAGGUUGAAUAAAUUUUUUAAAGGAAAAAAAUAGAGGGUAAUUAAAUUUGUUGGAGUGAAAAAAAUUGGAGGGUAAUUAAAAUAAUUAGAGUGAAUAAUUGGAGGUUAAUUAAAUUUGUUGGAGGGAAAAAAAAUGGAGGGUAGUUAAAUUUGAUAGAGGGAAAAUUUUAAUUAAAAUAAUGUUAAUUUGUUCUUAUUUGAUGAGUCUUUUGGAAGAGAUUGUAUUUUUCUAUCCACUUAUUUACCACAUCAGUAAGUAAAUUGAAAUUUGAAGAGUAAAAUUUAAAUAGUCUUUUGGAGAUGCUCUUAGUAUCAACUUUAUGAUUCCCGAUCGUUUAACAAAAGGAGUAAACCCAAAAUUUUUUAGUGAACAUGUUGAAAUGAUGGGUAUUUCUGAAUCAAUUAUUGACAUUAUGUUUAAGUUUUUAGGCUCUUUAUGUAUUUGACACUCUGAGCUCAUUUAAGUACUGUUUUUGAUUCUUUUAUAUCUUGUUUGAUUUAAUGGUAUAUAAAUGAAUGAUGAUAUGAUUGUUAGCAGGUUUUGUCUCUAACUAAGGCAUUAUUGUUGGACCAUUAUUAUAUCUUUCUCGUUAUAGGUCAUGUUAAGCAUAAAAUUGAUAAUUUUAUGGUUUGACUAAUGCAAGUAAGGAUUAAGCUCUUACUAUGCGCAUACUGUUUAUUAUUAUUAAACCAUUAAGUUGAUUGUAUCACAUGAGCCAAGUGGGAGAAUGUUGGUGUAACGACCUGUCCCGACCUCCACAGGGCGAAUCUUUCUGCGGCUCAAAUAUAUAUUAAAUAAUAAUAAAAAAAAUUCUUUUACAAUCCAUAAAAAUUAUAGUCUCCAAAUACAAAUAUAUAACGCAAAUUGCAGCGGAAGAAUUUAAAAUUCAUGCCAAACCAUCUAUUUCCUCCAUUCAAGUUCUCCUCGUCGCUCAUCAUAAAACAAUCCUGAUUUACGGAAACUGAUCACAAUAAACUAUAAUGAGUACGAAACUCAGUAAGCAAACCAGUUUUUCAUAUACUAAAAUACAUACAUACAUACAUAUAAUGCAAAUGGAUGACGUGCUACGGUAUUCGAAAACAUCGUAAAACAAUUCAUCGAAAUCUCAUUCUGUCAUUCACAAAUUUUUACAUUCUCUUUCAAAUCACUUACUUCAACUUGAGCUACCUUCAUUCAAUUACCGCUUAGUAGGACACUCCAUUAACUUUCAUAACUUUCAUACACUUUGGGCUUCUCGCCAACGCAUUCCUCGCCCACUUAUCUCAUAACUGUAAUAUAACAUCUAGAGUAUCCUCCACUAAGCCAGUAACGAAUUCAAGCAUCCAAGCAAAACUGUAAAACAAUCUUUCUCUCUUCAAAUUCUGUUUGCUAAAAUCCACUUUCUCAUUUUAUAGAAAACAUAAUGUAUUUUCGUGCUCAUGCCAAUAAAAUAUUCACACAUACGUAUGCCCAUGUCCAUAAACACACAUAACAACACAUCACAUAAACACAUGGGCAGAGCAUAUAAAUCAAUAUCUGUAUAUAUCGAAAUAGACUUUUCAAACAUGUCAACAUAAAUAUUGUUUAUUGUGAUUCGUUUGGAAAUCUAGUUUACUUAC
rnacentral:lncRNA from 1 species